UUCUUUUUUUUUUUUGGAGAUAAACAAACUUGGGUUUCUUUGUUUCUAGUGUGCGUGCAUCUUUUGUUGGGGUGGUGGGUUUGAGAGUUUCUGCUGCAUGUAAGUUGUAGCUUCAUCUGUAUCUACUGUCAGAUUAAUCAUCAGAACAAAUGACCUUAUUAAGCUGAAUUACCAGUAUAUUUCUCUACUAGUUCUUUUAUCUCAUUUUUAAGUCGCAACUGUAGAUUCUCAUGAUUGUAUCUUAAAAUGUUACAUCCUCUUACCUUCACUGAAGGGUUGGAGAAGAGCCUGUUACCUUUACGGUUAAAGAUUCCUACUGGGGCUUCAAAUGAUUGUUUUGAUAGAUAUUGGCAGUACAAGUCAGCACCUAAUACUUCCUAUGAAGAUGCAGAAAAAUGCCUAAGGUUGGCUCUUCAUUCAAAUCCACCAGUGAUGGCAGCCUUGUUGCCACUAAUACAGGUAAUUGGAGCUGAUGUCAUCGCAUACAUAUUAGGAAUUAUCUGAUUCUGCAAUGCAUUCACGCUGAAAACAAAUGGAACUGCUAGCUGAACUAGCCUAGGGCUAUGGAUGCAGUUUGUUUGAUAUACCAUUUCCAUCUGUUUUGUGCUUCAGUCUCAUUUUGUGCCUCCAAUCAUUUACCUGUUCCCCCCCUAAAACCCUCCGUAUCAUGUAGAGACAACAUAAGAGAUAGCCUGACCAAUAUGUUAUAUGUGGUUUGUUCCUAAACACUAAUAGUGUGUUUAGUUUGCACCAUCAUACCGUCCGGAACCAUCCGAUCCAAACUCUGUCAGAUGACCUCGCGAGCAGUAAUCCGCGAUGCAGUGUCUCCUCAAACUCUGUCAGAUGACCUUGUUUGGAACCAUCCAAACCUAGGGAAAAAUGAUCUUGUGAAGAAUCAACUGGCCCCGGACGGAGCCGCUCCUCAAAUCAAAGGAGCUGUAACUACUGCACACUCCAUAUGCCCAUGUUUAAUGUCUUGGCAGUACAAUCUCCUGUGCAAGUUUCUUUCAGCUUUUUUUUUUAUCUUAUGCCCAAGCUAUUCCUUGCAUGAAUGUCCUGAUUCUCCAGGCAGCGCUCUGCUUCUGCACCACCAAUAGAUACCUUUAGAGAUUACAUUUUGUAUUUUCUUUUUAGAUUUUGUCACUGAGCACACCAUAUUAGGUUAUGAGUAUGUGCAUCUUUGAUUACCUUAUUGGCAUUUCUCUAGUCUUUCAUCUCUGAGUCCAUCAAGCCAACCAUGCGCUGCUUCUUUUUGUACACAAGUAUUUAUUUCUCUGCAAAUUAUGGACGCACAGGUUUUUGUUCGAGUGCUUUUGAACAUUUGUAUACAUUUUGUUUCCUUGUGUGAAUUUUACUGUUAUCAUUUGACAUUUGUUCAAAAAAAAUCAUAAAAUUUUUGAUAGAUUCUCCUGCUUGGUGAUAAACUGAAAGAUGCACUUGACGAGCUUGAGAGAACCUGCCUCAGUUCAACUACAGCCCUCCCUUUCAGGUAAAGCGAUGUGUUGCCUUGAAUCUCAUCCCUUAUCUAAUGUUUCAUGAUAUCUUUCAGUUAUCAUAGUUUCUGCUUUUGUUACACUGUAUAUAUUAAAAACAAGCUUUUGUGAUUUAAGUAAUUGAAAUUAAUUUGUUUCUUGCUGCAGGUUGAGAGGUAGACUGCUAGAAGAGUAUUUCAACCAAAACCAAGUAUCAACCAUUUCCUCUUGCUAUGAGGAAGCUUUGAGAAGAGAUCCUACAUGUAGCUACUCAAUGGAGAGGCUAAUCAAAAUGCAUAGAAAAGGUGUGGGCUAAAAAAUUUUUCUUCUUCCAGAUUGUUCUGCUAUUUGAUCAUAGUGCUACUUGAGUAUCUGAAAUUCUGAAUUGUUCUUCAUAUAUCUGUAGUAAACACUUCGCUGGUAUGAUUGGGUAUAUGCUACCAUGUUUGGACAAUAUAUCAUAUCCAUAGGGUUUUUUUUUCACUGCAUUGACGCUUUCUUGCUAUCUGUAAUAAAGUCAUGUUUGGACAACCACCGGUCCAACUUUUUUUUUUUGUGAUCAAAACAUAAAGAACUAGAUAGACGGGCAAGAUAGGAUUGAUUUUAGUAGUUUUUUCAUGAAAAAAAUUCAUGAUAUGUUUUACUUUUUUAUUUUAAAUAUCAUAUUUUCAUAGAAAUUGAUAGUCAAAGCUCUACUCCCUCCAUUUCACUAUGUUUGUCCAUGACAUUGGGAGGACAUGUUCUACAAUGUUUGUCCAUUGAGGAUAUCAAGUGUGUAGUUAUUGCAAUAUUUCCACUUCCUACCGCUGAUUAAAUGCUCCAACAGAAUAGAGAAGUUUGACUUAGGACAUAAUUGAAACAUCUUACAUUUUGAAACAGAGGGAGUAGUUCAUAUAUUCCACUGUCUUUUUGCUUCCUUAGAAAGGACCUUAUGUACAGACUACAGAGGCACCCACCCUUGCUGAAAGCUCCCACACAAGGCAGAUGGGGUCUUGGGAAGGGAAUUUAUGGGCAGCCUUACCCGUGCUUAUUUAGCAAGAAGGCUGAUUCUAAUUUCUAACCUAGGACCUCCAGGACCAGUGGAGAGAUUCUACAUUCUGUGUAUAUUUUGCUUGGUACAAAAAAUAUUUAAACUUCAAUGUGGGUUGUGGUUAUGAAAGUUUAUGGCAUUGCUUCUGCAAAAUUAAGAUUCAAAGUUCCAUAUUCUGAGCAAUAUCUGCAUUCUUGUUUUCUUUUGCUGGUUACCACAGGAUACUAUAAUACAAUCCAGCUACUCGAGGCAAUAGCUCUACAUUUAGAUUCCGUCAAUGGGAAACCUUGCAUCUGGGAGGAGCUUGUAUUGUGCUUCCUUCGGCUUUUCUCUGACAAAACUGCUGACUAUGAGGAUUGCAUAGCUUGUACUAAUACCCAAGGAGAUCAAGCAUUGGACGUUUUCAGUAAAUUUUCUUCAUUCUUUUUUGAGCGAUUUACAAGAGAAUCAUGGAAGGCCCGAUGCAGAUGGUGGAUGCACCAUCAUUUCAGUCAAAACACCUAUGCAUCAGAAACCCUGACAGGUAGCUGCUUAUUCCUCAAAUUUAUGGGCAGCUACAUAUAUAUACACUUUAAAUUAAUAAUGAGAAUGAUGACUACUAUGCGGGAUUGUCCCUCCAUACCCCCCCCCCCCCCCCCACCCACCCACCCCCACCCAAAAAAACAGAACAAAAAAACUGUCAACAUAGUAUGCACUGGUACAGUGCUUCCUUAGAGAAACUAUAGCAGCAUUAUGGUGUGAAAUCAGCAUACUCUUUCUAGUUUUAACUUUCAAGCUCAGUAUCAACCAUAUAUGCCUCUCCCCUGGCAUGCCAUCUUUUUAGACGUUUGUGAUGUGAUCAAAGCUAAAGCAGUUUAUGUUUAUACAGGUGAUUGCAAGCUCCUGGCUGCCAAGGCAGCUUGUGCUGCUCAUCUGUUUGGGCCAGAAUUCCCAUACGUCAAAGCAGCUGGGAGCUAUAUUGCCAAGCAAGAAUCUCUAGAUGAAGUCAGUCUCUUAGUCAGAAACAAGCAGAACUCUGUCAGGCUAUUACAAACGUUGGAGAAACUAACAUCUUGAUUCGUUUUGGUUCAGUAUUUCACCAUUGCAUGGCAUUGUUGUUACCAUAUUGACAGGAUUUUGUAGAAAUCCUCAAAACGAGGUAAAUUUUUGUAGGAACAAUAGCAGUCACCAAUAGUGUUUAGGCAUAAUUUUUGGCGCUGGUGACGCCAUGUGUUGAGUGUAGCAGCGAAAAUGUAUCAAUUGUUAUGUUAGUACAAAUGGAAACCAUCUCGAGCUUGUGUUCGGCUUGGUUUUGGGGAUGUAAAUGGAAAAGUUUGUAAGUUCUCCUUGGAAGCAUUUGAAAGUAAGAUAAUUGACCUUGCAAGAAAAUUGAGACUGUUAAACUUACAUUGUUUUUCUAUGGCAAUAUAUAACAAAAUCAUUUAAAAGAAAUAUGAUUGCAAAAUCAUUAUCUAAAAAUGAUCACGAAAUUACCAAAACAUCACGGUGGAAACACGGGCUAUAUGGCUAUAUGGAUCACUACUACGCGAAAGAAACAAUACAAAUAAGUAAAGAGAAUUAUGACAUAAUCCUAUAUCAUCAUAGCUAAAAGUUUUGCCAGACGAUAGGAAUGAGUGGAGAGUAACUUCAGAUAAUUAUGGCAUAAUACUCUAUCAUCAUAGCUAAAACGUUUGCCAGUUUUCCAUGAUUUUGGUUGCAACGACUAGAGCUAACUGCUCACCAGUGUGAAUUGCAUAACCAGCCGAUCAAAGAAAGGGUUCUACUUCCUUUUUUUUUUUAUGAAGUGGUUCUACUUCCAUUCCUUAUUUACAAGCUGGUCGGCAACGCCUUCUCUAGUUCGCAGCCUCCUCCAACCUAGGCAUGUUGUUGACUCCGCAGCCGGGGCACGUGUACCGCCGCUGCAGCUCGUCUGUAAGUGAAGCGUGCACCUUUUCGAGUUCAGCUGCCCGCGUGUUCCAGGUUAAAGAAAGCUUCAGCCAAAGCAAGGAGACAUGAGAAUAAAAUUGUAUAGAAACAUCUCUGCACAAAAAAAUCAGGAUAUCCUCCAAGUUCCUGCAGCUGCUUCAUCUCUCCCAUCACAGCCUCCAUAAGCGCUCUCUUUGCUUGGACAUCAGCCAGCUCCUGAUGAACCUGCAAAUAAAGUGCCAAAUUAUUCGUUUUGUAAAUGAGGCUGGCUGGACAAUGUACAGGGCCACCAGGACCAUUCUCCAACUAAUGAAAGAGAACGAUUAAUGUUGAUAUUGCUUGAAACUGAUCGGACAGCAGUGCAAAAGCAUUGAACUGAAAACUUGAAAAGGAAAGCUGCUGUUUAGACGAUGUUAUGUGACUUUAUGCUACACAUCCUCUGCCUGCAUGUCAUCCCCGUCCCUUGGCAUUGCAUCGCCAACUAGUGUUUGUAAGGUUACGUUGUCUUCAGGAAACACAAGUACAGCUUGACAGUUCACAUGAAAUCAAUUUUCUGACUAAUGAACAUCUUACUGGUGUGGUUCAAUGUUCUGUAUUGUAUAAUUAGUAAAAUAAUGUACAGAGCACGUCAACUGCCACUCAAAUACCAUGUGAUCCACAGCCAAAGGAUUUCAUCAGAGUGGUCUUAUGAUUAGAAGAAUGAAUAGAGGUUCAAAGAUUUGUGCUUAUUCAGUUAAAUAUUGUGCGGAUAAAUAUAAUGCACUACAUAAGAAGGAGACGCACCUUAUCAUGAUCAAGCAGAUCCUUUUUAUACUCUCCUUCCAAGAGCUGCAUCUCAGCAUCAAUGUUGCUCGCCUUAUCAGCCAAAUCUUUCAGAAUGCCAUCUGAUUCAAUAGUUUCACUCUUGUCACCAACAUGCUGGCCUGAAAAGGGGGACAUCCCAGAUAGUCUAAGAAACUUAAUGAAGUGCCCGUCUAGAUAGAUCAUAUGUUAAAUACGUUGGACUACAAAGUUCGGUAUAGCAGACUUAUGGGUAUAGAUAGAUUCAAGCAGAGUGCAUCACACAAUUCUUAGAUCUUAAUUACAAUCAUCCACAGUUUUUUUCUGUACAAGGAAAAAAACACGCAGAAGCAAGAAAAAAAGGAAAUGGCAACAUCACUUUUAUAUUCAAAGGAACGCCUUAUACAGUUCAGGAAUAGAAAGUGGUGUGUUGCAUUAUGAUUUUCCCUACUUACCUUCUGCAGACUGCAGCCCACAAUGAUUGUAUUCCGCUAAUUCUAGAGAGAACAUCUGUUGAAAUUGCCUGUAGAAGAGGAGUUUUUAUUUUAUUUUUUUCUAAAUUAACAUGGUAGUAAAAACAGACUUUGGAAACAAGCUUCGGACAGCAAGCAAAUGCCAAAUUUAUGUAAACUGGAAAGUGAGAAUCUUAUAAGUGGAUUCACGUGACAUUCCCUGAUAAAGGUUUCAUAUCAAAAGAUCACCACUCGCUUCCUUGUAUCGCAAUUUCUCAAAGAUCCAAACAAUAUACCCUAUCCCUAUUGAAGCAGUAACUUCCCAACUUUGCUAUAUGCAAGCCAGAUGAAGAUAUGCAGCAUCAGGUACAGUUUGUUUUAUGAUUCCACCAAAUAACAAAAAGGUCAUCACAGGCAAAUAAAACACAAGAUUCUGUACCUUAUCUCAGCGUUCAUCUCAUGCAUCUUGCUGAUGAACUCGUCUCUGCAGCAGUGAAGGCAAGCGCAAGAAUGAUCAGUGGCCAGCAACAAAAUCAUCCAAAGCACCACGUAUAUGACAUGUUAUCUAGCAACAAGGAAUUAGACAGAUUUCAGAGUACUCACCUCUCACUGUCUCCCUUGCUCUUUUUGGAGCAAAUCCAUCAAGCACCAACACCACACACCCAGCAAUUCCAAUUCGAACAAUUAUGAAUAAACAUACGUCAAUUCAAUAUUACAGCAACAAAGAGCCCUAAUUUGCUGCGAAUUUCCGAGAUCAUCUAACCUUCAGCUCGUCCAGCUCAGAUCCCACCUUCGAGAUCUCCUCCUGCAGACGCGAGAUGGUCGCCUAAACGAACCGAUGAAAUUCGGAUUACGAAACUGGGCACAAACGAGAUAAAUCGUCAAUUUCGGGGCGAGGCGGGGAGAGACCUCUAGCGCCUGGAUGGUCGAGGCGGCGAUCGCGGCCUGAACCUGGCUCCCGCGGAGCUCCAGCUCCGCCGCCUCUCGCGCGCGCUUGGCGGCGUCGAGCUCCGCCGCGGCCGCGUCGGCCGCGGCCCGCACGUCGGCGAGGCGGCGCCUGAGGUCGGACACCCUGCGCUCUGCACGCACACGCCAAGCGGGAGACGAAGCGUCCGAUCAGCGCGGCCGCGCGAACAACCCUAUCGCCUCGCGCGGUGGGGGAUCUGAGGGAGGGAGGGAGGAGGGGUUUUUGCGUGCUUACCGCCAUGGGACUUCUCGGAGGCGAAGUCGCGGAUGAUGGAGAGGAGCUGCUUCGGGGUCUCGCUGCCCGCCGCCGACGCCGGCGCAGCCAUCGGCUCAGGGGAAGCGGUCGAGGGGACGCCCUUCUCGACGCUUCUGGAAGGUUCGCGAAGGGGGUUUUCCCGCCUUUUUGGAUGAUGCCGGUGUACGGUGUCUGGAAGGGUGGAAGGAGGAAUGGAAUGGGCUUUAAAGCGCUUGUGGAGUGGAGGCCCAAGUGAUUCACUGCCAUGUAUGUAUGUGUGGGGAACAAAAAAUGGGCUUUAAAUCGUCGAGACGUUUAGGCAUCUCACUUGUUGGCCCACAGCAAGAGUUGGCAUUGGCGGGCAGCCCAAGACCCGAAUUUCCGCGAGGAAAGAAAGGAACGAACAGAACAGAGUUGUGUCUUGUUUACUUGUUUAUGCGAACGGGUAUGUGACCCGCAGAACCUAUACAUCUUUCGGAAGAAAUUUUGUAUCUAAUCUUCUAAUGUUUGAGAUCCGUACAAAGCCAAAUGAAUGUAUCGGAUGAAACCGUAUGAAGCAGAGCCACUCAGUGCCCAUGUGCGCAUGCAUGCAGCUGGCUUGAUGGAAAGGAGCUGGACACGUGUCAAUAUCCCAUUACGUGCUAUUGAGGAGUGACGGGAUGGUUUUUCUUUGGAUUUGAUUUCAUUUUUCUCUCAGACCGUACGUUUUUUCUUCCGUUUGGACGAUCGUGUUAUUAAGAAUUAAUGCAACAAGAUGAGAGAUGCAAUAUGAUUAUAUUUUAUUGCAUUUUUUAAAAAAUCAACAUUUUAGAUGAACUAUCUCAACAUUUUUUACAUAAAAAAGUUGGUGAAUGUCAAAAAACUCUAAACGGAAUAGGCUCAACAUUUUUUCUCACCAACAUUUUAUUGACCUUAACUUGUUUAGCCAACAUAUAUUUCUUUAUAGUUUCAGCUCUAACAUCUACAGUUGACCAACAUUAUAUAUUCAGUUUCAACAUUUUUAAUGAAUAGGCUCGACAUCUCUAUGAAUAUAAUUCAACAUAUUUAUAUUUACAGUCUCAUUAUUUCCGAUGAAAUGGUAUAACAUUUAUAGUAUUUCAAUGCAAUAUUUUAUAUUUAAGAUUCAACAUUACCGGUGGUUUGGUUCAACAUUUAUACUCCUUGAACCCAACAUUGUAUAUUCAACUUUAACAUUUUCAUUUCUUUGUCCACCAUAUUAUUAGUGAAACUCAACAUUUUACAUUUUCAGUUUCAAAAUUUUUAGUGGAUUCAAUAUUUUUAAUAUUGCAAAACAUUUUAUAUUUCAGUUUCAACAUUUCCGAUGGUUUGGUUCAAUGCCUUUACUAAUGAAACUCAACAUCUAUUUAAUAUUUCUCAACAUUUUUGACAGUCCUCAACUCUUUCUUAAAGUUACGGUGAAUCCCCAAAUUGAUUUAGGUUGCCCAACAUUUCCAAAAAUGACUUAACAUUUUUCCAAACUAUUUUUCUCAACAACAUUUUAUUGAUCUUAACUUGUUUAAUUAUCAUAUAUUUCUUUAUAUUUUAAGCUUUAACAUUUCCAAUUAACCUACAUUUUAUGUUCCGUUUCAACAUUUUCAAUCAAUAAGCUCCACAUUUUCUACUAAUAGAAUUCAACAUUUAAUAUUUACAGUCUCAUUAUUUCCAAUGGAAUGGUCCAACAUUUCUAAUAUUUCAAUGCGACAUUUUAUAUUUAAGAUUCAACAUUACCAGCGGCUUAGUUGAACAUUUUUACUCUUGAACCAACAUUAUAUAUUCUAUUUCAAUAUCAUUUGUUUGUCCAAUAACUUUAUUAGUGAAACUUAACAUUUUAUAUGACCAGUUUCAAUAAUUUAUAGGUAUAGUUCAACACUAUUAGAUUGCGAUGCAACAUUUUAUAAUUCAAUUUCAAAACUGACUAAUACUACAUUUAUAAUUAAUUGACUAAUUCUACAUUUAUAAUUAACAGGUGGAGUAACACUUCAUGAGAUGUUGGCCGAUUUAUGAUGAUUGUUGUUUCUUAUUUGACUAUAAUCAUAUGGAUCAUAUAGUUCUGGAGUUUGUUUGGAGAAUUAACUUUUCUUAGUUCUGGAAUUUGUGUAAUAAUAACUUCCUUUCCAAGAUACGUGUUUUUGUCGAACAUAUCGUUUGUAUUCAGACAAAUCAUACGGAUGAUAUGUACAAAAUAAAUAUUGGUAUAUUGAUACUUUCUGAGUUAUUAUUUCAUUUUUGAACAUCAAAUUUCAACUUGCAAGUCCCCACCUGUUACUAUCCCUCUUCAAACCACAUACCCCGCAAAAAUAUUCAACUUCUGAGCUAUAUGUAUAGUAUCAUGAAAAAAGUCAAAAGCACCAAGUAUGCAAUUCUUCACGUAUUUGUAUAGUGUCAGAAAAAAAAACUUAAAGGUACCCGGUAUGAUUUUGCGUAUGUGUGUGCAGUCUAACGGAAUAGUCAACUGAUGAAAACAGUCAAAUAGGUGGUGUUGGACCUUAAUGGACCACUCGGCCUGUUCGCUACAGCUUAUUCAGCUGGCUUAUCAGCCAUCAAACAGUGUUUUUCUCUCAUAACAAAUCAGCCGUUUCAGCUUUUCAGCCGGCUUAUAAGCUGAAGCGAACAGGCCCACUGUUGGACUUAUAGUUCAACCUCUUACACAUCUUCCGGAAGCCAUAUAGGGAGCCCUGUGACCAGAGUUGGUCAGCAACGUUUCCGGAAGCUUUUUUCUUAUCAAACUUUCGGUGCUUGAGAUUCAUGCAACUAACAUUAUCUGUCGGAUGUACUUAUCUCGCCCAACAUAGCUACCUCCACACAAGCCGCCGCCACUUCUGCAGCACCGUCGACUGCCAUCGUCGGCCCAUCGCGCCGAGCUCCGCGGCCUCCUGCGCACCACCGCUCGCGGCCCUGAGCACCGCCACAUCCGCAACACCGAGAUCCACCGCAGCAUCGAGCGUGGGCGCCUCCCGCGCGCCGCGAUCUGCGACCCUGAGCUCCACCACGCCCCGCAGCAGCUCUCUACCGCCUACCUCAUAUAGGAGCCCCCGGUCAGCAGAGCCUCUGUAGCACCAGCCUCUAGAGGAGAUCAUAGGUUCGAUCCCCGGUGGAGACGAAUUCUCUAGCAUGUGUGUUUUUCAUCCGAGUUGUUAUAGGUACACACGCGUACGUGUUCAGUAGUAUGCAUGGAUAUAUAAACAGACGCUAUGGCUGAACCUAGAUGAGAAGGGGGAGAAGAAUAGAUCAGCUUGGUGUCAAUUUGAAUUAAUUUUUUCAAUAAAGGAACAUGUGAUGCAUAUACAUGCAGCCAUACAUCAAUUUGAGUGCUCAGGACUUCAUACAAUACAGAAGGUACGCAUUCAACUACAGUAGUAGUCCCUCAGUUCCAAAUUGUAAGUCAUUUAAACUUUCUUGGAAAGUCAAAGCAUCUCAAGUUUGCUAAAUUUAUACAAUAAUAUACUAACAUUUAUGAUACCAAAUAAAUACUAUUAAAUUAUUCAUUAAAUGUUUGUAGAUAUGCUUGAGAGUGGAUGAGGUAGCUAGACACUUCACCGAGAUGCUUUAUGUCAAAUUUUGUUGCCAUCAAGACGCAUAUAUAGUGUCAAUGGAUCAAAGAAUGGCACAUAAAUAGAAAAGAAUCGGACAUGCAAGAGUCAAUUCACGCAAAACAGGAGCAAAAUGAAGCAAAAAUAGAACUAAACAAAAUUAUGGAAGAGAAAAGUUGGAUCUGUACGCUGAGAAUCAUUGCAACUGAUAGUCUUGAUGCGUGGCUCACAAAAGAGAUAGGAUGAAAGAGUGUGUCCUCCUACUAUGAAUUAAGUUACUACAGACCGUUGCAUGCUUUAAAAAUUAUAAAGCCCCUAACACAUAGCAAUUUACAAGUGUAAUUUCGCUGAUUAACCUAUUGUAAAACCUUUAGAAGUCUCAUCGUAUCACUCUUGAACAGCAGACAAAACAUAGAAAAAAGAACAAAUGAUCUAUCAUAACUUAAUAUUGGCAGGGAGAUGUGUGCCACGCAAUUAAAUUUAAAAUUGAAUUCUCGACGAGAUGCACAUGACCAAGUUAAAUACUUUUCAUAUGCAAGGAAGUAAUACAUCACAUGGAGUCUUCGAAACUCUAGAGUAUUAACAUGCACAUGGAGUAAAAUAUUUUGGGUUGAGGAUCAAACAACUGGAAUAACCUUCAGAUCAGUAUAACAAUAUCAAUAUGUUUUCAAUCCUUCCCAUUCCCACUUGGCUUCAAUCAACGUACUCUCAAGUAAAAAAAUCCAAUAUAAAUGUUGCACCCACGCUACAACAAAUAAAAUCAUUUGAAUAAUUUAUUUUCAAGUAAAAAUAUCAUAAUUAUCAGUGAAAAACAUCUAGCUACCGCGCUAUUUGUGCGAGCCACUUUGCUAGUUGGUAGUACUGUAAUAGUUCGUACGUGCGUGUCACGAGCAACAUAGGACGACGUCAUGAAUGGAACUCCGGCCGGGCGGCGCCUCGCUCACGCCUAUGAUUAGAAAGCUAUCGCUCACCAGUGUACCACCCGCCGACCUCCGGCAUCAGUUGCCGACGCGCACUGCUAAUUCAGUGACCCUCAUGGCCUCAUUACAACCUUCAUUUCGUCAGAAAGUUUGGGAUCUUUCGGUCUGGGAUUCGGUUCCUGACCCCUGACGGGGGAAGUCUGACUGGCCAACGGUUGACCCAAACUAGAGCACGCGGCGCACGAGCCUGCCACGAAUCUGCUUGGAGUGGGAGCAGCUGGUUCGCCGUCGGCAAGUUUGCACUGUGCUCGGGGGCCAGAACCCGUGCAGGGCUUUGGAAACCCCAGCUUCUGCGGGGCCCAACUGGUAGCCCGGAUAACCAAAUUUCCAGCUUGGACGUUCGAUUUGGAGUCCUUUUGCGACCCCGGCCCCCGACUAGCGAGGGCGAGGGCACGCCCACGCGGCGCGAGGCGUCGUGGUCUCGUGGAUCCAGCCGGUCCCAACUCCCAGCCCGUGCCCGCCGGCCACGGCAAGCUGCGCUCACCGGACUCCGAACGCCGUGCACACGGGUGGUGCGAGCGGGUAGCCUGUCCCGUAUCUUUGACCUCCACUAGGAGACAGGAUCGAUCGAUCCCCGUAUCGAUCAGGUGCCGGGAAUGUCAAGCUUCUCCGGCUCCGGCCGGGCGGGAGGAUCGCUGCGCCGACGCCUCUGGGUUCGUGGAACCAACGAAAGGAGGUGGGACAGUGCUUUCAUGGGGGUAAACGCGGAUGGCCAUGCCCAUGCCCAUGCAGGGCGUGUUUCUCCUUCUCGUUUUGCGAAAAGAAAUGCAGAAAUCUGUCGGUGACGUCUGCUAAUUUCGUUCAGGGAGGAGGGGGGUUUGCGUGUUUACCGCCGUGGGACUUCUCGGAGGCGAAGUCACGGAUGAUGGAGAGGAGCUGCUUCGGGGUCUCGCUGCCCGCCGCCGACGCCGGCGCAGCCAUCGGCUCAGGGGAAACGGUCGGGGGAAACGCCCUUCUGGAGGUUUCUGGAAGUUUCGCGAAGGUGUCUGGGAGGGUGGGUGGUGGAAGGUGGAAUGGAAUGGGCUUUAAAGCGCUUGUGGAGUGGAGGCCCAAGUGAUCAAUGCUAUCUGUGUGUGUGGGGGGGGGGGGGGAGGGGGGGAGUCUUAAAUCGUCUUUAGGCAUCUCAUUUGUUGGCCCACAGUAAGAGUGGGCAUUGGCAGCCCAAGAUCCGAAUUUCCGCAAGGAUGAAAGAAAAAGUUGUUCAAGUGCGUAUGUAGCACCGGUGCGUGUAAAACAAAAAAAGAUCAGAGUUGGUGUCAAUUUGAAUUUCUUUUUUAGAUAAAGGAACAUCAACAUGUGAUGCAUACAUACAGCCACGCACUAAUUUGCAUGGUCAGAAUUUUACACAAUACAGAAGACACACAUCAACUACUAGUACAGUACUUGGUACCCUGUAGCUAAAUCGAGUACCGUACAUGAUUACAAUAUCUUCAUUUCGUCAGAAAGUUUGGGAUCUUUCAGUAUGGGAUGUGGGAUCCGGAUCCUGACGGGAAAGUCUAACCGACUGACGGUUGAUUCAAACCACGCCGCGCACGAGCCUGGGUUGGGCCUACCAUGUGUUUUGUUCCGGGGUCGAAGUCGGUUGGGAUGGGUCGACCCCUAUUUGGUUGCAAACGAGUGUGGGUAGCCAACCCUCUAGGGUAUACUCCCUUGAGAUCCGGGUGGAGCUCAUCCCUUUAUUUCGGUGGGGUCGCGCGGACCUAGUUUCGCUCGCGCGCGUGACACUGGGUGCCGCAACACUACUGUCACAGCGUCACCUUCCCCCUCCGGACACCCAGCGCCCCCGCCGCCUCCAUCCGCCGCCGCCGCCCAUGCCAGCCACAACCGCCGCCCCCAUCCUCCGCCCCUCUCUCACACGGUGAGGAUAUGUCCCGGCUGGAUCUCGCCGUCGCCGCCUGAGAUCUGUCCGUAGCGCCGCCACCUCCCCUGCCCGCCGGCCAAGCGCCGCCGCCUCCCCUACCCACCGUCGCCCCUCUCAAGGCUCGCCGUUUCCCCUUACCGCCGCCACCCCUGCCAAGGCCCGCCCCCGCGCCGCCCCCGCGCCGGCUGUGCCUCCGCGCCAGCCCGCCGGGCUGCUCCCUCGCUGGGGCCAGCCGGGCGAGCUCCGCCACUGGCCGCGCGAGCUUGGAGGCUGCCCGAUGGGGCCGGCCACGUGAGCUUGGAGGCAGCAGUGCGGUGCGGUGGAGAGGAGGCCCGUAGAAGAUAGGGAAGGGAGGGAAAAGAAAAAAAAGAAGAAAAUGAGAAUGACACGUGGGACCAACAGAUGACAUGUGGGUCUGCAACUAACAGUGACUAACGGUGUUAAAAUGACAUCCAUACCAACCCUCUCGACCCCCUCAACCAAACAAAAAACUGGGUCGGCUCCAACCCAACCCACAUCAUCCCAAAACCAAACACUACCUUAGUUGGUCAGUUGGAGCAGGUUCCCUGUCGGCAGGAGGACACCGCUACACUGUGCUCUGGAGCUGGAAGUCUGAACCCGUGCAGGAUCCUAAUUAGUUCGGGUCACAUUGGAUGGUUUGAUACCAAUUAGAAGUACUAAACAUGAACUAAUUAUAAACUAAUUGCAUAAGCCGUGGCUAAUUCGUGAGAUAAAUCUAUUAAGCCUAGUUAAUCCAUGAUUAGCACAUAUAUUACUGUAGCAUCACAUUGUCAAAUCAUGAACUAAUUAGGCUUAAUAGAUUCGUCUCGCGAAUUAGACUUCAUUUAUGCAAUUGGUUUUGUAAUUAACUUAUAUUUAAUACUCCUAAUUAGUCUCUAAACAUUCGAUGUGACAGUCUACGGGCCCCAAAUUUCCAUUGCAGCAGCCGAUCAAGGACGGUAGGAACAAGAGCUUCGACGUUCGAUUUGGAGACCCUUUUACGAUCCCACCCCAGACCCGCUAGGGCACGCACGCACACGCGACGCGAGGCGUCGUGGAUCCAGCCAGAGUCCCAACUCCCAGCCCGUGCCCGCGGCUCACCAGCCACAUCAAGUUGCGCUCACAGAACUCCGAACACCGCGCGCACGAGUGGUGCCAGUAGGUAUCCUGUCCCGCAUCUUUGACCUUCGCUAGGAGACCGGGUCGAUCCCCGUGUCAGGUGCUGGGAAUGUCAAGCUUCUCCCUCUGGCUCCGACCAGGCGGGAGGAUCGUCGCGCCGACACCUCUCGAUUCGUGGAACCAACCAGGGAGGUGGGAUAGUCGGACAACACUUUCAUGGGGUAAGCGCGGAUGGCCAUGUAGGGUGUGUUUCUCCUUCUCGUUAUACGAAAAGAAAUUCAGAAAUCUGUUAGGUUUUUUCAGAUUCAAAAAAUAAAUCCGGCCUCACUGAUCAACAUUUUGAGAGCUUACAACCGAUGAGAAACCGAUCACUACUGGAAAAUGUGGCUUUAGUCCCAGUUGGAUAGGGCCACACGUCCCGAAAAUCCAACCGGCACUAAGUUUUUGAGACAAAAGGAGGAUGCUUUACCCAUGACUAAAUAUCCUAAAAAGUUUCAAAAAAAAUAAAAAAAAGCCACCCGCGCCGGUCGUCCUCCGCUCACCCGCCCGGCCACGCCCGCGUCGGCCGCCUGCCCAUGCCCACCCAGCCGCCCGCCCGCGGCUCGCCCCACCGGCGUCACUACCCUACACCUUGCCCCGCUGCCGCUCCUCACUGCCAGUGAGGGGUGAGCAGAGAGGGAAGGCGAGGGGCAGCAGAGGGGGAGGGGCGGGAGAGGAAGGGGAGGGCGCGGCGGCGGUGGGAGGGAAGGGGAGGGGGCGGACCGGGAGAGGAAGGGGAGGGAGCGGCGGCGGUAGGAGGCAGGGGGAGGAGGAGGAGAUGGCGGGAGGGAAGGAAAGGGGGCGGCAGUAAGAGAGGAUAAGGAAGAAAGGGAGGGAAGGAGAAGAUAAUGUGGAGGGGGGGGACGUGUGGAAAGGGACAUUUUGUCCUGGUUGGGAACACCAACCAGGACUAAAGGGCCCCCUUUAGUCCCGGUUGGUGUUUCCAAUCGGGACAAUUCCCCCUCGUCCCACUAGCAGUUACAACCGGGACUAAGGGCCUAUUUGGGACUGCUCUGCUCAAAAAAAAAAAUAGCUCCACUCCACCAAUUUCACCUUUUUGUAGCUCCACUCUACCAACUCUAGGAAAAUAGGGAGCUAUAUACCUGUUUGGCUACCGGAUGCAAAUUCAGCUCCAGAAAUUGUAGGAACUAGUGGGAAUAGUCACUCUUGCCCUUGGGUGGUUUUUUCCCGUGCUGCUACAGUACCCGUCGCUACAGGAACUAGCGCUGCUACAGAACCCAUCGUUACAGUACUCUAGAUAGGAAUGGGAGAUUUUCUAUGAUCCAUUCCAUGCCUUUCAGGAGAAAAAUCAACAAGCUCAAGCAUUUUGUCUUCGUUCCAACGGAACUAAACGCUACGACAUAUAAUUUUAAAAAGUACACAACACAAAUAUAUGGCACCAAAUGAAAUUACAAAAUCAAUCACACCAACAUUAACUAGUUCCAAGCAAGAGAAAGGAUCGUGGCCAACUCAUCACAAAAUACAUCUAUAGUUGGAGCAUUGGCAUUUGAAGUAGACCGAUCGGAUGCUAAGGGAGAAACUGCAUAUUUGUUAUACCUUUCCGGGAUAGUAGGUAUGUAAUUAGGAUCACGAUCAAACCGAUCAAAGUCAAUGUCUUCACCUCCAUGUUCACGGAUAUAAUUGUGAAGGACUAUAGUAACCACAACAAUCAUCUUUUGCUUGUACAUGGGGUACGGUGGGAUCUUAUACAUAAUUUGCCACUUUAUUUUUAAUAGUCCAAACGAUCGCUCAAUAACAUUGUGAAUAGAUAAGUGAACAUGAUUGAACCUUUCCGCGGGAGUCUUUGGUUCCGUACCCCUAUGCUAUUCGGGUAAAUGCUACCUUUCACCCUUGCAAGGAGCUAGAUACCCAGCGCGAUUAGGAUAACCCGCAUCAACGACAUAGUAUUUGCCUGCAAAAUGAGAAGAUAAUAUAAGUUAUUAUUUGUUCAACAUUAGGAUAAGUAAAACAUAAAUCAUAUAAAGGCGAUGUUACCUUGUGAAGGAUGUGGGAAGAAUUCUUCAUCCAGUCUAAUUGCAUUGUACAGCACACUUGUGUCAUGCAUAGCUCUGGGCUGACCUGUGGAUACAUAAGUGAAACGCAUGUUGAAAUCACAAAUAGCUAGAAUAUUUUGGGUUGCCAUUCCGAUUUUUCCAAUAUAUCUUACCACCUCAUUGGGUGACAGAGCGACAUGAAUAUGAGUGCCAUCAAGAGCACCUAUGCAAUCUUUGAAGUGUGGAUAUGCACGUCUGUCAUCUCUUAUCCUUUUAUGGACAGUAGGGAAGUUUGGAAUUUUUGAUCUAAUGGAAUCCUUUUCCAUAGCAAUCAAACAGAAUAACACCUCAUCAAAUUUCCUACUUAUAGUUUCACCAGAGUGGUUGAAUCUAUUUUGAGCUCUCCUAUUAGACUCAUUUCCACCUAAAGUGUAUAAUAAAAUCGCCAACAUCUCAAGUGUGUUCAUAUGCAUGGAAGGUUUAAGCCCGUACCUUCCCACCAAUAAAUCAUGAAGGUUCGUAAAUAUAUCCUCCUUCAACGAAGUUGUCUAUAACAUUCACCCGCAUUCCUUACUGUCUCCAUCAACCAUCCCAUGUCACAAAGGUUUGAUAUUCUUGGUGGGUUUUUAUCUAGAUAAAGAUCGAUGUAAAUUUGAGCUACUUGAGCACCACCAACAAGAACUAAACUUCAAAACUGCUCACUCUCCUUACUACUAUCACUCUCACUCUUGGACACCUGCAAUUUAACAUGAAACAAAAUGACAUGAAUAUAUUUUGACUAGACAGGACACAAAUAUCACAUUAAAAAAAUGAGAGCAAAAUAUACCAAUCAUGAAGUACACCCUCGAUCUUCUUUUUCCAUUGCCAAUGGAUGGAGACACCUCCUCAAUGUCAUUCCUAGCAGCACCUCCAUUGUCUUCUUCUGUUAGGGACACAUGAAUAUCAUCACCACCACCAUCAAGGUUCUCACCAUUAUCAUUGUCUACACCAAUAGGAGUAUCAUGAUUUUGGGUUAUGAUAGGGUUGGAAGUCAUAGGGUUCCAAUGAUCUGUUUCAUCAUUAAUGAUGUCAUCAAACAUAACUGUCAAAUCAUCCAUAUUUUAUAGAGGUUUUGUCCUAAAGCCGCCGCAUCCUGGGAUAUCCUGUAGUGAAAAAAAAGAAUUGAAAAUAGUGUUAGUAAUGAGUACGAAUGAUUCAUGAAAAAUUUUUAAAAAAAUACAUCCUCACCUUCCUUGCCUUCCUCCACCACUCAUCAUCCAUGUAAAUCACACCAUUUAUUCUAUCCCAACCUGUUCCUGUUUGCCUCUUUAUUAAUCUAUUCAUGCUGAUAAUUUUAUCUUCAACUUAUCCCACUUGUUUUUCAAUUGCAUCUUGCUAAGAUAAAUUCCUGUCAUCUGAUAAAACCGAUUUGACACUUCGGUAUAGCCUACAUAGUUCAAAUGUCUAUUUGGUAUAUUGCCUUUCUUAACUUGUUUGGAUCGAAGUGUAUGCGUCGGUCCAGUCCACCAUAUCUUCCUGACCAUGAUGUUCACAUGUAUUUUCAACUAUUUGGAACACUAGCAAUUGUUCAAAUAUCACAACACUCAUGACACAUUCAUACAUGCAUAGCAAAUCUAUCAGCAUAGAUGAACAUACAUCAAGGACAACUCACAUACCUCCUCUUCUUCAUUCUUCUUGGCUGCCUUGGAGGGCUUCUUACUCUGUCCUUGGCCCUGGCCUCUUCCUGAUUGCUUCUUCCCACGGCCAUGGCCGACACUUGCGUCUUCAGCACCAAGAACGGCCUCUUCAAGGUUAGGGUCAGCCCCGGCUAGGGUGUGGCUGCCCCUGCCUAGGCCACAGCCACCUUUGGCCAGGCCACGGCCACCCGCCCCUAGGACACGACCGAACCCGGCCAGGACUCCGGCCACGACCUCUUCGAGGUCAGGCUCAGCACCGGCUAGGGGCUGGCUGCUGCCGGCUUGGGCACGACUGCCCACCCUCAAGCCACGGCCGCCCGCCCCCAGGACAUGGCCACCGCCGGCCAGGGCAUCAUCAAGUUCAGGUUUAGCGCCGGCCAGGGCCUAGGCCUGCCACCUGCCAGGCCACGGCCGCCGCCGACCAGGCCUCCGGCCAGGGCAUCAUCGAGUUCACGUUCAGCGCCGGCCAGGGGAUCGCUACUGGCAGCCUGGGUACAGCUUCCACCGGCUAGGGCCUCUUCGAGUUUAGGUUUAACGCCGGCCAGGGGAUCGCUGCUAGCGGCAUGGGCACGGACGCCCCCGACUAGGCUGCCGGCCAGGGCGUGCUCCAUGCCCAAAUCAGCGCUAGCCAAGGGGUGGAUGCCGUCGGCCAGGCCGUGCCCGGCCAUGGACGCUAGCGAGUGGAACGACUAGAGGAAGGGGAGAUGGCGGCGGCGGCGGAGGCCAAGGCGUCACGAGGGAGAGAGGCGUCGUGAGGGAGGGGGGCGGCGGAACAAGAGACGCAUCGCGAGGCGUUGUUUUUUUUCCCUCAAAGCGGUAUGUGUAAACAGUGGCAUUGGUGGGUAAUUUCCACCCAACUCCAAGAGAAGGUAUGAAACUACUCCCUCUGUCUGGAAAUGCUUGCAAUUAUAGGUUCCCGAGAUGAAGUUAGUGAAGAGGAAAAAAGACACAUGUGCCCCUAGUAGUCAGACAGAUUUUUCGUCCUCCAUCACACGCGCACGUCACAGCAUGAUCGUUGAUUGGCUGGACGGGCAGAUUCCUCAAGGUACAGAGCAGAGGGUCCUACCGCUGCUAGCUUUUACAGGUCUAAAAUUGCAAGUUUUCCCAGACAUAGCACCAGGUCUAGAAUUGCAAGCUUUUGCGGACGGAGGGAGUAGUUUUUUGGGAGCACCGAGCUCCAGAAAAACCUUAGAGUUGCCCCCCGGAUCCACCUUUUUCUGGAGUUGGUAUAGUUGGAGUUGGAGAUGUUUGGCAAGAUGAAUCUGGAGCGAAGCUGCAAAACUUGGAGCUGAGCAGUCCCAAACACGCCAUAAACGGGGGGUUUUAGUCCCGGUUGGUCUUUCCAACCGGGACUAAAGCUUCCCCCGUCGGUAGCCUUCGGUGGCUCAUUUUUGACUCGGGACUAAAGACACUUUAGUCUCGGGUCCAAAAUCUACCGGGACAAAAGCUCCUAGAUGGAAGGUCAGUUCUCCAAUAGUGGAUACUGCAGUACUUAGACUGCUUACAACUCAAAUGAACCCCUACAUACCUAUUAGAAAUCUGUCGGUGCUGCCUUCUAAUUUCGUUCAGUAUCCGUCGGUAUGAUUAGUUUUUUUGCCGUGAUAUCGAUCGAUAGAAUAAUGGUUUGGUGACCCGACUGAUGGUGACCUAAUAGGUUUGAACUUUGAACUCGAAUGAAUAAUUGCCGUGGCUACUCAUCCGAUGCAUUUUUUUAAGCUCCCCGUUUUAAACACAAUUGUCUGAAUAUCAUGACGAUUUGGAUGUUGAACGGUGACAUUGCAGAAGAUGGUAGUAUCACACAAAGGGGUUUCAGAACUGAAGGACCAGAACAAGCCACGAAUAAUCCUUGAUGGUCGGCUACACUGCUCGUGUUCUCCUCUAAUUUCAUUUUUGGAUAGUUGGAUAUGAUUAGUAUUGGUGUCAUAUCGAUCGAAAUAAUAGUCUCGGUCUUCGUGACCCCGGCUGAUGGUGAUUGGAUCACGAUGUCGUGCCAUGUUGUCAGCUCCAUCUGACAGGUCGGACUCAAAAAUGGAUAAUUGCCUGGAACGAAUCCGAUGCGUUUUUUGAAGCUCCUCAUCAUGGCAUUUGUAUACGGCUGUCUGAAUAACGAGACGAUUUGGAUGUUCGACGAUGACAUUGUAGCAGACGCCACUGAGGUCACAUCGCUAUCUCUGACACGGGGACGAAGCGUCGAGGAACUGACCAAGAACCGAACGAGACUUGCCCAACGACCAAGCCUUGAUGGUCUGAUAGGGCUAAGCUUUUCACUAGCAAAAAGGAGAGUCCUGGCUAGACGUUGAACACGUUUCCGUUGAGCCUUAGACGUGUAUUGGGUGAGAAUGAAGCAUGCACACCUAACAAUCUUGUCAGUGAAUCCGGUUAGUGGAGUGGUAGUUUACUUGUACAUUUCCUCGGCCCAUCUAGCCAUCUGAUGGCUACUCGGUGGUAGGACAUCCAGGGCUCGAACCUGUAGAGAAGUUAGUAGAGUACCCCUGACCAGCAAGCAGUAUACGUAAAGGGAAAAAAACUUCAGAAGGGUGUAUCCAUGUGAAGAAGUUGUGAACAACUCUGACAGUCAUAUAUAUCCGGCAUCCUGAAGAGGUGGUCAUAGCAUCUAAAAAGACGUUACGGUGCCAGUUCAACAUGCGAAUAACAUAACGUACAGUACCAUCAGCACAUACAAUACUUUGAACAAAACAUCAAUAUUACACGCCAACUGAAUCCCCAUGUGCAAUCCCCCAAGCAAACUUGCCUCCUUUGUACUAGCCCCUGCGAAUCAAAAGAUGAGUGGCAAGAACGGAAGCACCACGUACAGGGAUCGAUAGUAACCACUAAUUAAUGAACAUAUAUGACUACAAAAAUCGAGUACUACCCACCAUUGGUCCAUUUCCAACUAGAGUACCAAAAUUCAUGGCAGCACGGGCAAAGCAAAAAAAAUCUCACCCGUCUCCUCCCGUAUCACCGUCACAUGCGGCCCUCCUCUGAAGGAGCCCAUUUCUAUCAAAAUGAACAAGCAUAAGCAGAGCCGUCAGUACAUAUACUUUGGCAUGCAUGAUUGCGCGUGAAAGCAGCGAUUCAGAUGCUGAUACCCAAAUAGAGGAUGGAACAGAGAUGCAGGACAUGGUUCUAGCUGAAGAUAAUGGAUGUAGACAAACAUGGGGGGAGCACGCAUGAUUGGGCUGCCGCCCAUGUGUAGUCUGAUGUCUAAUCGGGGCUUUGCGAGGGUACACUGCAUUAUCGUGUCAAAAUCUAGCCAAUAAUCGAACGCCUCGCUCCGGCCUCCGGGUGGUUACCAUGCAGCAGGCAGCAGCAAUGGUUCAGCCGCCUCCGGGCUCCGGGCGGCGGCGGCGGGGUGCCAUGAGUUGUCGAUUGGAUUGGUGCUCUUGGUCGUGCUUGAUCUGGUAAUACAAUUAUAUAUAAUCCACGGUGAAUCAUAUGGCAACAAGCAGUAAGACCAUCUGUCAACGCUGUGCGCUAGUGCUUUGCCUCUUGGUUGAAGAUUCUUUCUUGCACGCGCACGCGCGCCUCCGCAGUCCUCACGUGAUGAACAACUACUACAACUUGUGUUACACUACUUUUAGGGGAGGCCGAGGACCGAGGUUUCACGCACUGCAGCAAUGGAAAACGAAAAGGAUUUCUCGAGAUGUCAGCCUGGUUCCGAACUCUCGAGAUGGCAGCAUUGUGGAUAAGCCAUAUUAUAAAACUGUAAAAAGUUACCGCGGGGGCGUCGCACAGCUAACAGCUUUCCGCAGACGAGGUUUGCCUUGAGAUAAUCCUUGUGCCAACAAGAUUGCUUAUACUUCGGUUUGGCAGUCCGGUGAAUAGUGAGAAGGGGACAAGGGGUUUCCCUCCUCUCUUUUUUACUGAAAGCGUUGGGUUUCCAUGGGCCAAGAAAGAAUACAUUGCCCUUUCCUGGUUGCACUGAAGGAGAUGUCCCAUUGGAGGCCGACAUGCAAAGAGGAGGCAUCCCCGCCGCCUGCCUAGAUUCACUCCAAGAAAGCCAGUGGACCCCCGAUCCAUUGAAUUCGCAGUACUCGCCCUGCCACCUGUCUCCCCGGAGCCCCAUUCCCUAUCCUAUCCAAUGCCCAUCGCCCCAUCCUCAUCCUGCGGCACAUAUUAUUAUCUAAAAUUUGUGGGUUAACUUCGCUAUGAGUUUUCACAUGCUGCGAAUUUCAGCGAUUUGUUACGAAAAGAUGAUGUUGUCAAAUGUUUGCAUUUCGAAAGACUUGUAUAUAUGGUCAAUAAUUCCGAUUCUAACAGAGCAAUUGCGCUAGUUUUUGCAACUUGUAAGACGAGACAAGCGAAGAAGAUAACUAGAUAAGGGUUGCCAGCUACACGACGGCGGAAGAGAAUAGAACACGCACACGCAGCAUGCUGGAGGGUCCCGGGGAUGGAGCCAUGGAGGGGCUUUCAAGCGAUGGUUUUGUACGCUCGCGCUCGCGAGCGGCGGCGGCCCAAACGGCCACCGGGAAGAGGGAUUCCGGCCACAUGCGCCGCCGAGGUGGUCACGUCGCGCCGGAGUGGCAGCGGCACAUGCCGGCAGGGCAUGGACAUCGCCCGGGCCCCGGGAUCGCAGCACGCCACGGCUGCGGUUAGAUGCGGGGAACGCAUGCACAUGCAUGUAGGAUAGGGAUUAGGGGAUGGGCAACCGGGCACGCCUAUCCUAUUCCUAUCCAUAUGCAUAGACGACUGAUUCAGAGGUAGUACGUAUGUAUUCUCUUCCCGGAGCUGAGUGAUUAGUUUCCAUACUGUUGAAAAUUCUGUUCGUUCAUCGUGAAUAAAAUGGGUUACGCCAGCUCGGCAUUUAAGUUGAUGCAUGCACAUUAUCAUUACGAAAAUGAUGUCGACAUGGGCAUGCAUGUCUAUCCAACUGGAAGCCUGAGUGGAUCGGAGCUUCAUACAAUUACUAUAGCAUCAUUACUGUGCUAAAAGACCGAAAAUAAUCUGAAAUAAGCCUAUUUUAUGGGAUUAUGAUAAUCUAGGGGUAUAGAUUAUGAUCUGGAUUAUAAUCUAUAGUGUUUGUUGUCUAUGUGAGAUUAUAUAAAUUAGAUUAUAUAAUCUAGGGGAUUAUAAUCUAACAAACAGGACCUCAUUAUUCUCGGCACAAAGAAAACCUUGAGCCCCUGAUUGGGGAAUACGCAGAAGGGCAAAGGGGACAUAAAUCCAUGCAUGUGACACGUACGCACCGGUCACAUGCUUCCAGCACUGCAGUGCCGGCAUGUUGGCAACCGAAUUAACGACCGGGGGGUCCCCGGCGGCCUGCGGGCUGCGGGCUGCAACUCCACAUGCGUUUGUUCCGAUUCCACGGGCCAUGGCGCUACCGGUACCGGUACCGGCACGGCGGCACGUACGCCCGCUCGCAACAAACCUGACAGUGGUCAAUGUAGGGGACGCACUCGAUCUACAGGGCAUCAGUAGGCGUAGUAUCAUGUGAAAUAAUUGAGCAAUCAAUCUAUACGCUAACACCCUCCCAGCUUGUACGUAUUGUCGCUUUGCCCAGCACAAUCAUCUGCCGCAUGUGGUGUGUCAUCGGAUUCGCUUCUUGGGUGAGCCUAUCGUUUCACCCGUGCCCCACUGGCAGAUGUAGCCAUUGUUCUCUUAUGUGCUAGACUGUUACGUAUAUGCUCUUGAGCGUAGUACUGUAGUAGUGUUCACCAAAUUAUUAAUAGACAAGUAAAUUCAGUGGAUGAAGUUAAUUUUGAGCACAGCUUCUUGUUCCUCGGCCAGUUCGAUCGGUCGCUAGUCAUCGCAUCUACUGCUGAUGGGGUGCAUGAGGUGUGCAGCAAGUGAUCUUUGUCUGGUCAACUGCACGUACUGCCAUCACACCAACUUCACAACAAAACUUGGGGCACAGCACGUAACAAAAUGGAGUGGACAACCUGCCCUGCUUCUUUCUGACGCGCGCAAUGGAGACCGGGCAACUCCUUGCAUCGUCCAAUUGGUAUCACGGAUGCCCCUGCAGUCAUUUCAACGUGGGAGAAAAGGAAAGGCAAGCGGCAAGCCGGCAGGCAUGCAUGAGCGCAUGACACUGAUGGAUCAGCGAAGCAGCCUUUUUGCCACCUGACUGGCUUGGUUGAGGUUGGCGAACAGACACCGGCCGGCUUUCCUCUUACAUUGGUUUUGUCUCAUUAUUUGUUCUUUGUUUAGUACUUUGAUGAUGAGUUGAGGACUUGAGGUCUUGAGGAGGGUACGUAAAUCUUUGGCACGGCCAUCUCUCUUUGCCAAAAGGUGGCUAGUCUUUUAACAAAAGUUGCCGUGUACAUAUAAAAUUGAGUGACAUUUGUGUGCCAGAUGCUUGUGUUGAGUAGCUGCAGUAUCCCUACUGCCGGCAGGUACAUAUAGCCUUUGGUCCGUUGCAUAUAAAGAUGGCUAAUUUUUACUUUUUAGCUAGCUUGGUCCAUUCUCAUUAAACUGAAUCCUGAAAUCGUCCGAACGCAAUGACGAUGACCCCCUCGUGCCUGGCAUUGUCAAACAGUAACACUGCCGAGACAGAGAAGUUUACUCACUUGGAAAGCAUGCAUGGUCCAUGGAUACACCCAUGCAUUUGCGGGCCUGAAGCCGACAAUGUUCGCACGGCCACCUGGAAUCCAUUACUCCUACUUCUCAUCCUCUGUGGAUCUUCUGUUCUUCACUGCCUGGCUUCAGAGUGGGUAAAAACAGGUAGCCGUCGUCCUCGGCGCUCCAUUCCGCUUCCGCGAAAUGGCACCUCGCCGGCUUUCCUCCUGUUUUGCUUUCAGGGCUGUCGCGAAAAGGCGUGCCGUGCAGAAGCCCUGAGCCCCAUGCGCUGCUGACACGCACCCAGUGGCCACAUGCCCACAUCCCGGCGAGGAACCCGGCUUUUCCUCCAUUUCUUGCUUGCCAUUGCCACUCCAAGGACAUGGCCGCGUCGCAUCAUACAUGUCCACCUGCAUGCCCCGAACGCUGAGUCGCUGACCCUCUUGCAAGCUGCAGCUUCAGGCUCCAGGCUCCCAGCUGCCCGACUGCCAUCUUUAUGCCGAGUUGCCGGCCCGUCCGCUUGGCCGCGGCCCGCGCGCGCCCCGAAUUGAUGACACGAUGUGAGAGUAAGGACACUUAGCUGGCUUCCAGUAUGCGUUGACGCCCCGGGGGGGCCUACCACCACUCGGGUAAAACGAUUCGAAUGUUUGACACUAAUCAGGAGUAUUAAAUAUAGACUAGUUACAAAACUAAUUUCAGAACCUUUAGGCUAAAUCGCGAGACGAAUCUAUUAAACCUAAGUAGUCCAUGAUUUGAGAAUAUGAUGCUAUAGUAAACAUUCGCUAAUGAUGGAUUAUUUAGGCUUAAUAGAUUCGUCUCGUGAUUUAGCCUACGGUUUCUACAAUUAGUUUUGUAAUUAACUCAUGUUUAGUCCUCCAAAUUAGCAUCCGAAUAUCCGAUAUGACACGGACUAAAUUUUAGCUCCAGGAUUCAAACACCUCCGACUCGAAGAAUGAAGAAGAGAAGGGAGGAAAGGAAGAUGAGGAAGAGAAACCCCGCCUAAGGCAUCCGCCACGAGUACGUAACGCACUCCCGAGUCGAGCUAGUCGCGUCUCGCCGACUCUGACGACUAGCUCAACUCGUCCGCCUCACAAAGGCGUGUAAACGCGAGGCCUUCGCGCGCGGCUUCCGCCGAACCGGCCGGGCGCGGGUGAUCAUGAGUCGUGACAUGAGCAGGCGAGUACGAGGGCCCGCCCGACCCGUGGUUUCACGUGAAAAAGAUCGCGCGCUGGGCACGCGUCCCCUUGGCUAGCUGGCCAGGCGGAGACGACGGGAGCCAACAGUGGCUUGGCCGUACGGUGUGGAAAAAGGUCGUCGUCGAGAGAUCGACCUCACGGCCAGCUAGCCGAAGAAGGGCGUCGUGCGCGCGCACAUGCCCUCGACGGUGGGUUGGCCGGGGAAACGCCGGCCGGGCGCGACGGUUGGUGAAGUACUUACAAUAGUAUUUGCACAAGUUGGUGAUUGCGAGCCUAACAGUACGUGGCAAGCAAGUGCACACGAUCCUCCGCUGAAACUGGUGCAGUGGGUGGCGCAAAUUAUUUGGCGGCGAACCAAGCACGGGUCAAAUGCUACAGUAUGCGCGAACAUGACAUGCAUAUCGCGCACUGCUCGGGGAAACGCACGGGGCACGGGCCGUAACUGGGGGAUUGAAUCGAUUGGGGGGGGGGGGGGGGGGGGGGGGGGGGGGGGGCGGGGCGCGGCCAGGCCAGGGUGGUUUGGCUUCGCGAGGUAGCGCGACCGGAUGUGCCCCGGCCUCCCGCAAAAACCCGCGCGCCGCUCCGUGUUUGGUUUCGUCUCGCGCCAAGAGGCCGACCGUGACAUGCAGCAGACCGGAGCCGGCAGGGCAUGGGCACGAAUUGCAUCGCGACUUGCCGCACUGCGGCUAGAUGCACGGAAUGCAUGCGCGUGUAAGGCAGGGGAAUGGGCAUGCCUAUCCUAUCUUUGGUGGGUUUUUUUUAAAAAAAAAAUAUUUUUUUCCCUAGGAAGGUGAGGAUUAUCAUGAGUUUGAAAUGUAAACUAUUUUUAGCAUCAGAUUCAUACUAGCGAUUCACAUAUUACGCAAAUUUAAGCUUAUAGAUGUACUGGUUAUCUUAGGUGAUGGAAAAUGCCUAUAUCAGGGGUUUUGGAAUUACGAAGUUAUUUGACAGUCUUUUUCGUAAGCCAGCUGGUUGUGGCAUUGCGGCCACCAUGAGCUGCAACAUAGUUAUUCCAUCGCUACGCCCUGUUGGUCCUUAUUACAUAGCUGUUCAUCCUGGUGCCAUAUCAUAGUUGCAUACACCAUCAAUCACAUGAAUACAAAAUACUCUGUCCCAAAUUACUAUCCAUUUUAAUUUUUCUAAAUACAUAUCUUUUGAUAUGCACAUAGAUAUAUACCUACAUCAAGAUACAUAAUAAAAGUGAUGUAUUUAGAAAAGUCAAAACGAAUAUUUAUUUGGGAUGGAGGGAGUACAUAAAACUAACUCAACUAUACAUAGUACAUUUUCUCUUGAAAUUUAGGUCCAUUUUAAUUUUCAGCUAACGUUUUGCGAAGAGAGAAGGCAGAGAUGGUCCGCUCACUGUACCACAACCCCCAAUUACCGCCGGAUGUUAGAUGGUAUAAGUAGAAAAAUACUGAUGAACAAUUCGUUGGUAUAGACCUCCCACGAACGAUUGGUCGAUACUUCAAGUUUCUACGAGUCACGGUCGUUAUAUAUUUUUACAUGUCCCAUUGACCCAUCUGUUGGUACAUCCAAAAAAUACAUCCAACCAUCCGUCAGGAUACAUAGAGCAGGCUGAGCACUCCCAACACGCUUCCAGCCUAUACUCGCGUGAAAAAUUUGCCUCAGGACCCACUAGUCAGUCCCAAACCCUAGCUAGUUUUCUAUACCUCCGGUUCACACGCUGCCACCACCCCCGCUCUCCCUCGCUCAUCUCCCCAAAAUUCUCUCCUCCGCGCGCUCCCCCUCACCCAAAUCGUCGCCGCACGUGCAUGGAUUUCUCUCCGAUUCGUCUUCGCAUGCUCAUCCCCGUCCACUGCAUCCUCCAAAUCGGCCACUGCCAACCCUAGCCCCUCCAAAAUGUUGCCUGCCCCCUCAUCCAACCACCCCUCCACCACAUCUCGAUAAGAUUUUACUUCUGUCACUGCCUCCCGCCGCCCCUCCUCCCACUGCCUCCCGCCACACCUCCACUCGCCGCCCCUCCACCCGUUGCUUGCCUCCCGCACGCUGCCCCUCCACCCGCUGCAUCCCGCGCCGCCCCUACACCCGUCGUUCCUCCACCCGCAUGAUCCCGCCGCCCCUCCACCAGCAGGCAAGUGACACCCCUCCAGCAAGCGUCGCCUGGACCUGCAAGCAUGUGUCGCCCGGUGCUGCUGGCGCGCUGAAGCCGUUCGCCGGUCGGACCUGCAAGUGCGUGCCGUCCUGAUCUGUAGGCCACAGACCCGGCUUCGACUGCUUCUAUUCCGUCGCCCCGUCGACGACCCUUAGAAGGACGCCACUGACUCACCGACGCUGCCUCACCCACUACGACGCCAGCUCUGAGCCGGACUCGGCCGCAUCCCCAAGAUAUAGACUGACCAAGGUGUCGUCGCUACUGCACCGACCUGACGAGCUCGCCGCUGACCUGACCAGACCAACCCUCUACUUCUGAAGGUUGAAUCCUAACAUUCCUCUUAAUUUAGUUCGUGAGCAUUCUUUGAAAUUACACUGAAGGAUGAUGAAUAUGUUGGGUUGGCAGAUACAAAUUACUAUAUAUGCACUAUUACUGAAUGAUGUGUGUGCUAUUAUUGUCUUCACGUACAUAAACCCGAAGCUCUUGAUACAUAAUUUCACUGCUGGGGAAUGCGCCUUCAGUACCGGAUCCAAACCCACAUUUAGUACCGGUUGUGGAACCGAUAUUGCUAUUUCAGUACUAAAGGACCUUUAAUACUGGGUCAAAUAACUGGUACUAAAGGGGGGUCUAAUUUGGGAACCCCACCCGGCCACCCCUGCAUCACCGCUGGCCACCCUUCCUCCCCGUCACCGCCAGCCACCCAUCCUCCUCGUCAGCUGAGCCUGGUCCCGGCCCUUGUCCCCGCCGCCUCGCCUCCCUGCGACCCCCUGCCGGCCCCUUCGCCCGGCCGGUUGCCCUUCCUCCUUGUCGGCCGAGCCUGGUCCCAGCCCUCGUCCCCACCACCUCGCCUCCCCUGCAACCCCCUACUGGCCCCUUCGCCCGGCCAGCUGCCCUUCCCCUGCCAGCCCUCUCACCCGGUCGGCCGCCCUCGCGACGCGCUCCACUGGCCUCCUUGCACCGUUGGCCGCCCUCGCCCAGAGCGAGAGAGAGGGGUGAGACCACGCAUCUCAUCCUGGCGCGCUGCCACCCCUUAGAUCCUGCCGCCCCCACCGCGCCUCCACGCUCUCCCACCGUGUCGGCCUGCAGAUCCGCGCCGUGCUGCUGCUCCACGCAUCGUCACCUGCUGCAGCUCCCCGCGCCGUCGCCCGCCACUUCGCCUUUGCGCUCCCCCACCGCCGUGUUGUCGCCUCACCUCACCCCGCCGCCGCUCCUCACCGUCGUCGCAGUGAGGGGCGCGCGGAGGGGAGACGGGAGGGUUGCACGUGGAAUGGGAGGAAGAGAAGCGACCAUGCACUGUUGGCUGUCGUGGGGGGAGAAGGGAGAGAGGAUGGCCGUUCGGGAAAGAGAGGGAGAGUCAUGAGCGGAUAAGAUGGUGAGGAGCGGACGUGUGCGGUGACUUCAAUCCAGUGAGGUCCAAAUUUCGGAUCCCCACCUACCAAUUAGUACCGGGUGGAGACUUCACCCGGUACUAAAGGUUGCCAAUUAGUACCGGUGAACCCUCCACCCGGUACUGGAGUUCACGAGGGCCUCGUCGUGAACUAGCCGUUAGAUCCGGUACUAAUGCUCACAUUAGUACUGAGCCAAAAUGCAACCGGUGCUAAGCCUCGGGAUAAAUGCUCAGUUUUCCAUUAGUGUUUGAUAUACAACAUACAUGGGUAUCUAUACAGAAGGAACAUUAUUCCUCGCGUGGUACGUACGUACGCGUCACAUGCUUACAGCGCUGCAGUGCCUGCUAUUUUGCAACCGGAUUAACGACCCGAGUCCUCUCGGCACACAUGCGUACGUUCUGAUUCCCAGAGCCAUAAUGGUGCUACCGGCCGGUACGUACGCCUGCACCAAACGUACCUGACAGUAGUGGCCACUGAAGGCGCUACAUACCCACAGGCAAAUCAGUGGAAAUAAUUGAGCAACCUAUGCUAAUACUUCAACAUGCACGUAUUGUCGCCUGUCCAACACAAUCAUUUGCGGCAUGUGGCGUGUCAGUGUGUCACCGGUUACGCAUGAUUAUCAGUUAUAUCACUCUUCGAAGGUGUUUGGAUACCAGGCUAAACUUUAGCUUGCCACAUCGAAUGUUCGGAUACUAAUGAGAAAGACUAAACAUAAGCUAAUUACAAAACUAAUUGCAGAACCUCUAGGCUAAAUCGCGAGACGAAUCUAUUAAGCCUAAUUAAUCUAUCAUUAGCGAAUGGUUACUGUAGCACCACAUUGUCAAAUCAUGGACUAAUUAGGCUUAAUAGAUUCAUCUCGCGAUUUAGCCUAGAGGUUGUGUAAUUAGUUUUGUAAUUAGUCUAGGUUUAAUACUCAUAAUUAGUGUCCAAAUAUUCGAUGUGACGGGGACUAAAAUUUAACCCCCUCCUCCCAAACACGAGCAUAUAUCCCCACUCAUUUCUAGCUUGUCAGGCUUAGAGCAUAUAUCCAAGAUGGGAAUCACCCUGGUGAACUGAGGUAUAAAAUAUUUCUGGCUCUUGUAUGUAUGCAACUGUAGAUGAACUAGCUUGUGAUGCAACAAAAUAAAAUAUAUAAUUGUGUCUAUAAAAUAAAUUCAUCCAAAUCAUCUUUCUCCUUAGCUUGUUUCGUUAGUUUAAUAUUGUUGCGCUGUUCUUGUGCACGGCCUAGCACUAGGUCAAUUAUUGGCGGGUUGUAAAAACUCUCUUCUAAUAUAAACCAUUAAGAUUGUACGCGUUAAUAGCACGGCUUAGGAUAUAAUGGUACUUUUCAAUCAUAGAGGGAAGUUUUCUAUUAAAAGUGAUAAACCAUACUAUGUUUCAAGAAAAUCGGCUAAACCACGAAACCAUUCAUACAUACACGUUUGAUUCACAAAACCCAUUAUCUAAAAAAAAUUGAUUCACAAAACCAAACACAUCUUUACGAUCCCUCCGGUAGCCGGCCACCUUGCUGCCCCGAGCUUCACUUUGAGCAUGAGGUACACUUUCCAAGCCCUGUCAAAAUCCCUCCUCCCACCAAAAUCCUAAUCCCGAACGCUGAUUCCAGUAUCAAGGUGACAUUUCAAUCACGCCUGAUCAACAGAAAAUGCAUGUACAAAAUGUUGUAAGGGCAGUGCAAAUGCGGGAGAUUGUGAAUGUCUUUUUUCGAUAAGUCAUGCAUCUUGCUUCGGCUCAAGGCAUCGAUCGCGCCAACUUUUUUUUUUAGAAAAGGGUAGGAUUUUUAUUACUACAAUACUUUUACAUCCAAACCCCUCAUGCCGAGGUACCCCUGAAAGAAAAGAAAAUUACAUUGACACCCUUUUGAGGUCCUCAGGAUCAUCUUUGUCGUCACUUGUUGGAGCCACCUCUGCUUGGUGCUCUGCCUCGGCACUGAAUGGAAAAGAAGAACACCAAGGAAGAAGCUUGAAGCCAACACCCGUGCAGACGAAGAAACUUCAAGGUUUUGAAUCACAAUCAGUGACAUACCAAAACUAGGAGACCCCAAUUGACGGAGAACUAAGAACAAAAAGGGAAUUUGGAGACACGAACCCGAUCUCACGAGUUCAUGGCACACAUACCUAACGAGCCUAUCGCCGGAUGAAACGCCGUCGCCGCCACUGAAGCUAGCUCGAAGGGACAAAAUCGGCGGUGGAGACCUCACCGCCGCCACCGUACACCAAACCGCAACCAACAUGCCUCUUCGGAAGCAAGAAUCCUACCCUAAACUAACCUAAGGAAAUAGGUAGUAGUAUGGAGUAUGGACAACCGCACCCGUCCUCAACCGGACCCCUCACCUCCCAACGCCGAAAACACCGUCGAAAGGAAGAAAUUCGGCCAGGAGCACGGCGGAAUCGCAAAUCGCCAACGAGUUGCCUCUACGAUCUACUGUGGGAAAGAAGACUCCGAAAGCGAGUUGUCUCGUCUAUCGCGCCAACUAGAACAACUUUUGAAGUCGCACGGCUCUCAACAAAAUGAAGUGGACAUCACGAUCUGCUUUGUUUCAUGAUCUACCGCGCCCAAUGGAGAUCGGAGAGACUCAAUAAGUAUUUGGAUCCUUGAGCUAAAGUCUAGUCCAUAUCACAUCGAAUCUUCGGCUAAUUAGGAUGACUAAAUAUGAGUUAAUUAUAAAACUAAUUACACGGAUGGAGGCUAAUUCGCGAGAUGAAUUUAUUAAGCCUAAUUAAUUCAUGAUUAGCACAUGUUUACUAUAGCAUGUUUCAAAUUAUGGACUAAUUAGACUUAAUAGAUUUGUCUCGCAAAUUAGCCUCCAUAUGUGCAAUUGGUUUUGUAAUUAGUCUAUGUUUAACACUCCUAAUUAGUAUCUAAAUAUUCGAUGUGGCAGGAAUUUUAGUCCGGACUAAAGAACCAAACACGCCCUUGCUACUCCUCGGCUACACUCCUAUGAAGUAUAGUUAUUUGAACCGGACCGGACCGACGGUUGGACCGUUAAAAAACCGGCUUGGUUCACUUAAAAGAUCGGCCGUGCAAUAGAACUGCUAAAAACCGAUCGUACCGGUCAGUUUUUUACGAAACCAGUGAACCGGCCGGUUCCAAUUGAACUGGACUGGUUUUGCUUCUUCACAAGUAUACUCCUCGUCCACUCAGUGAAACCUUAUCUCCACAAGAGCAUAAAUGAAAAUCUUCGUAUUUUCACGUUUUAGGUCACAGAGACACAGGCGCGCACCAUAGAUUCGCACGGGGAAGGAAAAAUCGUGAGAAAAAAAAUUGGCGCGCACCGCCGAAUCCCACCGCCGUCCUCGGUCCUCCCCGGCUCCCCGUUCUCCUGCUCCAUCGGUCCAUCCCCGCCUCCCCGUUCUCCUGCUCGGCUGCUCUCCAAGCUCCAUCCCCGCCCUUCCCAUCUCGCCGCCAAGCCUGGGCGGUGGGCUCGGGGCCUCAGGGCCCGGCGCUGGACUCCGCACGACGGCACGAGCACGACAGCAGCACUGCAGCAGACGCACCCGCACGGGCGCACGGCCGCAGUGUGAAGCUGUGUCGAACAUGCAUGCAUGAACGGAUAGUGUUGGAUGCCCCCAUUGUCCCUGCUGCAGUCAUGUCAGUGUUGGAGAAAAGGCGAGCUGGCAUGCAUGACACCAAUAGAUCAGGUCCGCAGCCUUUUUCGCCACCUGGUUUUGUUUACGGACAGACACACGCUUUUUCGCCAGCAAUAUUUUUCUUUAUGAGUGAGUGUUUGAUUUUAGUCCGAAUUAAAAUUCAUAUUUAGAAACUAAUUACACAGAUGAUGGAAGUUAAUUUUCAAAAUGAAUCUAUUAAGCCUAAUUAAUCCAUCAUUAACAUAUGUUCACUGUAGCACCACAUUGUCAAAUAAUGGACUAAUUAAGGAUUCGUCUCGCAAAUUAACCUCCAUCUGUACAAUUAAUUUUGUAAUUAGUCUAUAUUUAAUACUUCUAAUAAGUAUCUAAACAUACGAUGCGAUAGAAAUUUUAGCAGCUCCUAAGAAACAAACGAGUCCUUAGGACUAUGCUAUUGUCGCGUGUUCCGGCGACAUCGACCAUGCAGUACUUGAGCGUACGAUAUUUCGUGCAACGGCUUUCUUGGCCAAAAGGUGCCGACUCUUUCAACAAAAGUUGGCCUGUGAGAUACCAAUGGAGUAUCUGGAACUUCGUAUGGUAGAUGCCUGGUUGUUUUGAUUAUCACUCGUAUACAGUACAUAACAAACCAGACAUGGUCGAUGCUCUUGGUCUCUUGGAGCAACCACGGCCUGGUACUUAUUUUUAGCAUCCGUCACAUCAAAUGUUUAGAUACUAAUUAGGAGUAUUAAACGUAGACUAUUUACAAAUUACAUAAAUGGAGGUUAAACGGCGAGACGAAUCUAUUAAGCAUAAUUAGUUCAUGAUUUGAUAAUGUGUUUGCUAAUGAUGAAUUAAUUAGGCUUAAUACAUUCGUCUCGCCGUUUAGCCUCCACUUAUGUAAUGGGUUUUGUAAAUAGUCUACGUUAAUACUCCUAAGAGCAACUCCAAGAGUAUUCUAAUAAAUUCUUCCCCAAAAUUAUGUAUCAGGGGUUCUCCCAAAAAAAUAUUUCCCCCCAAAAACAUAUCAGUCCACAGCAGAUCGCUAAUAAAUAGUUCUCGAUAUUUUAAACACAGGCCACGUCAUCAUAUUGGGCCCAUCGGAAGGGACGCGCGGGCGUGCGGGAAUCAGGAUUGGGGAGGAACGCCAACGCUAAAAUAUACGUGGUGACAGGCUAUUUUUUAACGUCACUAAAAAAUUGGGGAAGGUUUAGGUGGAUUGUUGGAGUUCAUUUUUUUCUCUUUUUUCCUUAAAAAGAUAUUGAGGGUAAGAAGAGUUACUCUCAUUAGUAACUAAAUAUUCGAUGUGGACGUAAACAUGAUCUCACCACCUGCGGAUCAGGGAGUGCCUCGCCACUUGGGUCGCCAACGCGGGUCUGGAGUCUGGACAAGGCCUUCGGGGGUGUUUGGAUCCCCGGGCUAAACUUUAACCCUCGUCACAUCGAAUGUUUGGAUACUAAUUAGGAGUAUUAAACAUAGGCUAAUUACAAAACCAAUUUCACAACCCCUAGGCUAAAUCGCGAGACGAAUCUAUUAAAGGGGUGUUUGGGAGGCAUGUGCUAAAUUUUAGCACCUGUCACAUCGGAUGUUUGGAUACUAAUUAGGAGUAUUAAACAUAACCUAAUUACAAAACUAAUUGCACAACCCCUAGGCUAAAUCGCGAGACGAAUCUUUUAAGCCUAAUUAGUCCAUGAUUUGACCAUUCGCUAAUGAUGGAUUAAUUAGGCUUAAUAGAUUCGUCUCGCGAUUUAGCCUAGGGGUUGUGCAAUUAAUUUUGUAAUUAGACUAUGUUUAAUACUCAUAAUUAGUGUCCAAACAUCCGAUGUGACACAUGCUAAAAUUUAGCACCUGCUAUCCAAACACCCCCUAAGUCUAAUUAGUCCAUGAUUUGACAAUAUGGUGCUACAGUAAACAUUCGCUAAUGAUGGAUUAAUUAGGCUUAAUAGAUCCGUCUCGUAGUUUAGCCUAGGGGUUCUGCAAUUAGUUUUGUAAUUAGCUCAUGUUUAGCCCUUCUAAUUAGCAUCCGAAUAUUUGAUGUGACACGAACUAAACUUUAGCUCUAGGAUCAAACACCCCGGGACCCUCCUCGGGGGGCAGCGUCACCGUCUCACCGACUCGCCGUUUCCCUACUGUUUCGCAUUAAGGGCUUUGGCCAAAAAGGCGUACGUGCAGUGCAGCCGUGCAUCACCACGCAAGCGUGGGUGCCUGGUGUGGCGUGCAUCUGCAGUGCGCGCUCGUCCGGUCAUGCCCUGACACGCACUCGAUCGCCCGGCGCGGCGGGGCAGAGGGAUUUCUUGCUUGCUUGAUUGGCACUCCAAGGACAUGGCACGCACGCAUCAUGUCAGGCCAGCUGCCUUGCACCGACCCUGAGGACACUCCCAGUCCCUGAAGGCUGGUAGAGCCUGAAAUGCCGGCUUUUCGCUGACCCCCGAAAGGUCUGUCCCGUCUACUGGGCCUGCCUGAUUUUACAUUGACAUGUACUGAAGAUGAACGCAAGCUUAUGGUAAAUCCGGGCUUCCUUCUUCCCGUGUGAGUUGAUUGAAUAAAGCUUUGCAAGUGUGCGUGGUUUAAACAUCCGCAAGUGCGAAGUGUCUGUCUGUAUAUGAUGUCGAACCCAAAAAUGUGGUUACCCACUACCGUGCCAAUGUGCCAUGCGUGCGAAUCUACCUGCAGGCAUCACGAGACUCUGCAGGAGCAGGACUGUACCUCCUCCGUACGUGCCAAAGAAACGCUAUCCCAUUUUAUUUCAAAAAAAGAAACGCUAUCCCAAUGUGCACGCGUCAACGCGCACUGUCCCAGCCCGAGAUCGAGAUGACCCUCACCGGUCACCGCUGCUAGCCUGCUAGCACCCACCACCACAUCCAUGCCUUCGUACGAAGGAAUCUCCCUUUUCGGCGUGACCAGAGCCCCAGAGCUGGGUUGCACAAACAAAGCGAGACGGGGUAGGGUACGGUACGGAGCCGAGGACGCGACGCGCACGGCCGUCCGGGCGGCGCGACUGCCCACGCCGACCACGCCCAGUGGCCGCGGCCUUUUGUCCCAUCCCAUCGGCGCCCCCGUCCCGUCCACGCGCGAGGUCGGCGCGCCCCGCGGCUUCCGCCAGACCCGGCCGCGCGCGACGUACGAGCGCCCGUGGUUUCACGUGAAGAGAAAGAGGCCGCCGGCGGUCGGCCAGGCGGGAAGGAAGCGAACGGAGGGUGGAGAAAUGGUGACCGUUUCGUACGUGCCCCGGCCCGGCCGUUUGCGCUACGCGCUGCCGCGCAGGUGGUAGCCCUGGACGCAACGCCUAGAGGGCUCACGGUCAGCUGGGCAGCUAGCCAGCAGCCGAGCGGCGUCGUGCGCACAUGCCCUUGACGGCGGUUAUUGCUAAAUCAACUACGGAACAAUAUCGGACGAGUACAAACUCGUGAUUACGUAGAGGGUGUUUGAUAGCUCUCGUUAAACUUUAGCACUUAUCACAUCGGAUGUUCGAUACUAAUUAGGAGUAUUAAAUAUAGUCUAAUUAUAAAACUAAUUGCACAGAUGGAGUCUAAUUCGCGAGAUGAAUCUAUUAAGCCUAAUUAGUUCAUGAAUUGACAAUGUGGUGCUAACAUUUGCUAAUGAUGAAUUAAUUAGCUUUGAUAGAUUCGUCUCGCGAAUUAGACUCCAUCUAUGCAAUUAAUUUUAUAAUUAGCUCAUAUUUAGUCCUUCUAAUUAGCAUCCGAACAUUCGAUGUGACCUUGAGCACCUCGUAUCUAAACACCCCCUUAAGCUCGGUAGGAUCUAAACACCCCCUUAAGCUCGGUAGGAGUACCAGAAUAUACUAGCACGAAAUUCCCCCCUUGCAAGCUACAGCACAUAUAGCUGGUCUCGCAAUAGGCACGUAACGUGAUCCACCAAAUUCAUCAGCCCAUUCCGGCCCCAGCUCCGGUCGUCGUGCACUCGUGCAAGCAAGUAAUGGUGAAACCCAGCUGCUCCACCAAAUUCCUCCAGCAAGGUCAGCUAUGUCCAUCGCAGCGCUAACAAAGAAUUAUCAAAAUGCAAUGAAGAAAGGGUCACAGCUAAGGCAGGGAUGGAAGAAACCCACUGAAGGAAAAGUAAUGGUGAAUGUUGAUGCGGCCUUUGAUGAAGAUGGAGGAAGAGGCAGUGUGGGAUCGAUCAUAAGGGAUAGCAAUGGAGGCGUCUUAGCUGCUGCUCAUAGCUAUUUGCCCCAUUUAAUCGAUGCACCGAUGGCAGAGGCUUAUGCACUGAAGGAGGGGUUGAUGCUAGCGCAGCACAUCGGAUGCAAUCGGUUGAUUGUUCAAUCAGACUGUAUGGAGGUGGUCGAGAUCAUGAGGGCUGGUGGAUUCACGGCAAACUCGGCUGCGUCUAUACAUGAUGAAUGCAAUAUAGUGUGGAAUGGUUUUCAGGAGAUAAGUACCGAGCACUGUCAUCGUGAGGCGAAUCAAGCUGCUCACUUACUUGCAAGAAGAGCAAUGCAAACAAAGCAAAAUUGUACAUGGGAUGAUGAGCCCCCUAGUUUUAUCCUUGAUUGCAUUGUAAACGAUGUUACUAUCCUGAGUGAAUAAAGUUUGCCGUACAGUUUCAAAAAAAAAAGUGCGCAAUGCUCUGGCCUGCCGAGAAUCGUGGGCGGUGGUACGCAAACAUAACGCGCACGGCGCACAGGGAGGCACGAACGCGAUCGUCCUCCUCCGGAUCGAUCUCGCACGACGGCCCCGCGACCGCGACCGCGCGUCUCGUUCCGUCGGCACCCGCUGGAUUUGGCGGGGGGCGGGGGCAGAACGCGACCGGGACGCGGGCGCGCGGCCGGCCUCCGCCAAACCGGCCGCGGGUACGCGAGGCCGAGGACCCGUGGUUUCACGUGAACUGGAGCGGCCGCGAUGCGCGCGCGCGCGCGCGCACGAGAGCGGAUUCGCCAGGUCCCGUCUCGGCUGGCUGGCUGGCCAGGCGGCAGCGAGCGGCUGGCCGUGGCCGUGGGGGGUGGAGAAAUGCUGGCCCUUUUUGUACGCUUGUUGCGGCCGCCUGCCUACAGGUGUCUCGAGGCCCCGCCGCGGCAAGGCAAGCGGCCGCGGCCGCGCACAUGCUUGACGGCGGUUGGCCGGGGAGGGGGCGUCAGGCGUGGGCGUGAUGGUUGUUUGGAUAAACACUGAGCAAGCUCGUGAUUGCCUGAGCUGUGAUGUUUUUUUCGGCGAUGUACCAGGCCUGCUUGCCUGGUCUGGUGUACCGAGGAACUGCGGGCGGACUAAGAGUCCUCUGUUGAAAACCAAUGAUGGUGUCUGGUCGGGUGUGUAUGUAUCAGUGUAUGUGGCGGCAACCGGCAAACCAGAGGCAUAUAUUCACAGUUUCACACCCCGCAUUGAUUGGAACGUUAAGAAAACAGCUAUAUUUCACUGAAGGAGAUAAAUAGCAGUUUUCUAAUUUUCAGUAACCCAAGAAGAUCUCGUACGUAUCACACUAUACUAUAUCUGCAUAGUUUAAAGCUGUAACACAAAAGUUUAAAAGGAUGAGAGAAAAAUUAACAGGAAAAAUUUCACUAACACCUACGACAUGAAAGUAGUUUGGUUAAAUCCACUAUGAAAUAUAUUUUGAUAGUGCAUUUAUUUGGUGUUGAUAGCUAUUAAUGAUCUUUUCCUUUAAAAUUUGGAUUCAAUUUAGAGAAGUUCGAUUUACCAUAAAACUAAACUGUCUUGCAUUUUGGAACUGAUAGAGUUUUUUUUAAAAGAAAAUAUAGCGUUUUUGUUGGUGCAUAUGAUUCGGCAAGCAACGGAUGCUGAAAAAUAACAUAAGAGCACCACAAACAAAUGUCAAGCUUUAUCAAUUUAAUGGUAAUACGCAAAGGGGGCGCUCUGCUAGAAAAGGGACAAUGCCCUUUCUGAUACAUUCAAUCUAGCACGCAAUUGAGGUGCUAAAUCGUUCUCAUCGAAGUUUAUAUUGCACCAAAUUUCCAGCUUACUUCCUGCAUCUUCAUUCACAAUCCGACACGCCCAUUCCCCACAAAUUGAUAAGCCAUCUAUUGUUGACAGAGAAAAAGAUGCGCUCUCAGGAUGAUUUAAGCUAAAACAGUCUCAUUUUUCCAGAAAUGGACGAAGAUGCCCUUUUUUCGCUUGGUAAGAAGGUGCCUAUCCUCACCUGCUACUGUCGCUGGUACUGAUGAACCCUAGCUGCUCUUAGCCAGUGAUGACCAAGUGUUAAUCUCACGCCGCGAUCAAAGAAUAUCUCGAUAAUCAUGUCCAACCUGCUCGUGUUGCGAUGUCUAGAUCAAUCAUCAUUUGGUAGGGAUGCUCUAGCUACAAACGUAGUUGGCAUUUUCUUUUCUUUUUCCAAAUAUAUUAUUUUAUCUGUUUUUUUGUUUAUUCCAACAGGGUUUUUUUUUGUAAUGUUAUGCUACACGCCUACCCAUCACAAGUCUCCGGCUCGAAUUCACAUGGAUAUUUGAUUAGUAUAUGUGCUAGCUUAAUCAUCAAGCACUAGCCUAAUCUGUCCUUGCUCUGUACUGCUAAUUGCUAGCUACUCAGUGCCAAUAUAGAUUUAGAAACAUGUGCCUCACUAAUGCUUGACUGGAGCAAAUAUUUAGAAAAUUAACAUACACCGAAAGCAUACUUUUUGUAGUCGCGCGGGCACAUACUUUCUUGGGUUUUGAGGAAGUGUUGUUUUGAAUGUUUCAAAAAAUAAUUUUUAAUAGCCAAAAUGUUGUAAUAACAUAGUGCUGUAUAACUUCACAAAAUUAUAACCUAGGUAAACUGCACUUUUGGACGAGGUAAGUUGUUGUCCCGUUUUUUUCACAUCACAUCUCUUGUGACACUUGUUGCACUUCGCGAGAUCUAAGGGCAAAAAUGGAUCUCUAGCUUCUUCCGGUUCUUCAAGAAUCAGCAAGAUUUUGCUGUGUGACACAUGUAUAUUGACCACAUCAAAUGAAAAUUAAACUGAAAGCUGGUGCAGCACUGUGGCUUAGCACUGACAGCACACCAGACAGCAUCUCCAAGCAUAUUUUUUUAAAAAAAUCUCCCAUAAUUCUUUUUACAGAACCAAGAGAGCUUGCUGAUGCAAAGGCAUCGUCAGCCACGUAGUUUCCCUGGGCUUCGUUGGAGCAGUUGGUUUUUUCUGGUGGAAGCAAACAAUCAGCCGGUAGUAAACAAACAAGGCCGUGUUUAGUUCGGCGGAUUUGGGGUGCCAAAUUACUGUUACAGCACUGUAGCACACUGUAGCGUUUCGUUUGUAUUUGUGAAUUAUUGUCCAAAUAUUGACUAAUUAGGCUCAAAAGAUUCGUCUCGCAAAGUACAACAAAACUGUGCAAUUAGUUUUUAAUUUCAUCUACAUUUAGUACUCCAUGCAUGUACCGCAAGUUUGAUGUGAUGGGGAAUCUUCUUUUUGCAUAGUGUCAAAGUUGGGAGUUGGGAGUAACUAAACAUGGCCCAAGUCACCCCUUGGAGGAAGUGAGGAAAGCACGCAAAAAAAACAAAGCCUGAUCACAUGGCAUAACAUGUGCCCAUCUGUCAAAAACACAUCACACUGUUUCACCGACUCGAUUGACACUCGUCAGAGGAAUAGAGAAAGGACGAAGCCCAUGGAAUUACAGCUCUCCCAUUGGUCAUGUCAGAUCAAACAGUGCAUCUUGAAUAGUUUUGUGGUAAAGGAUACUCCUGAUAUGAUAUGCCUGAAUUUUCUAAGAAAUCAAACCGGUUUGCCAGAUUGGUUGAUCAGAAGGACGCGGCAGCUUAUGGGACGAGAUGUGCUCUAGUAUUGUUUGAGUUGUGGAUAGCUUGGAAUUUCUAGUCACAUGCUCGUCGAUCUCGAUGCACCGUUACAUCAGCAGUGUCACGCGGUGAGGUUUCUAGGAUAUUAAUCCAUGGGUGGACGGUGGUAAGUUUUAUUUUAUUCGUUUACUGUUAUCAGGUCCCGAACCUAUUUCCCUCUAGAACAUAGUUUUUCUUCCUUUCACUCUACAGAGAAUCCUCAACAACGAUUUGUUGAAAAAGGCACUAUACGAACCAUGAUGAAAAGUAAUUUUUGUCUCAUGGCCUUUUCUUACCAGCAAAGUUUUCUCUCGUAGCUGUCAUACAAACUUCAUCAUUACCUGGCUGUGCAAUCCCAAUAAAAUUGUAGUAGCCUAAUAACAGAUGAUGUCACUACUUCCCUCCAAAAACAUAGCAUAGCCUAAAUUACUUGAGGUAAACAAAAAGCCCAACUACAUGUGACCUACCCCCCCCCCCCCCCCCACCAAAAAGAAGAAGAAGAAGAAGAAGAAGAAGAAGAAGGAAUCACCAAACCUUGGAUAGUUCAUAGUUGGACAGCUGCUCCCAGGCUCAUUUUCACCACUCAUCAAACCAAACCACCAACCAACCUGCCAAGAAAUUCACCAAAACAUAUCCAAAAAUGAGCACCAAUGGGGCGUACUUGUGCCUACAAAGAUGCCAAAAAAGCAUCGCCAUUUUGGUAAUGGCAUCGAAAUACUGCUAAAAAAGACUAUUAAUAAAUGCGCGGCGCCCAGUCCACUCCAAGAUCUCAUCUUCCCCUCCCUGCAGGCUGUGUGCGGCCUCCCUCUCCCACCCGCCAUCCCCUCGAGCUAUUAGUACCCGCCACGCCACCGUCCCCCCUACCUUCGCCGCCUGCCUCUCCGUACUCCUCGCCACCUUCCUCCACUCACCCACUUGCACAGAGCCCGCGACGGCUCGGAAUCCGCCGCCGGCGCCUCCUCUCACCGGAGCAGUGAAGCUACACUGAGCGCCAUGGGCCCCGCGCCGAGGGAGCCCAUGAAGCAGCGGGUGAACCGCUGCCUGCUGCGGCUCUCGGACCGGGACACGGAGGCGAUGGCGGCCGCGGAGCUGGACGCGAUCGCGCGCGACCUGGAAGCCGACGAGCUGCCGGUGUUCGUGGCCGCGGUCUCCGACGCGCGUCCCACCGACAGGACGCCGCUGCGCCGGCACUCGCUCCGGCUGCUGGCGCUCGUCGCCGGCGAGCACCCGCGCGACGCCGUGGCGCCGCUCGUUCCCAGGCUCGUGGCCGCCGCGCUGCGGCGCGUCAGGGACCCGGACUCCUCCGUGCGCGCCGCGCUCGUCGACGCGGCCCGCGCCGCGGCGGGGGCCGCGCAGUCCCCGCCCGUGGCGCUCGGCCCACUCACCGACGCGCUGCUCCACGAGCAGGACCAGUGCGCGCAGCUGGCCGCCGCGCUCGCCGCGGCCGCGGCCGUCGAAGCCUCCGAGCCCACCGACGACCUCGCCGCCUACCUCGGGGCGCUCCUCCCGCGCCUUCUCAAGCUCCUGCGCAGCGCCGCGUUCAAGGCCAAGCCAGCGCUCAUCUCCCUCAUCGGCACUGCCUCGGCCGCAUCCGGCGGCGGAGCCGCAUCCACCGCUGUGCCCAGCCUUCGCGACGCGCUCACCGGCGAUGACUGGGCCGCGAGGAAGGCUGCCGCCGAGGCGCUCGCCUUGUUGGCCCUCGAACACGGAGACGACCUUAUCUCCCACAAAUCCUCCUGCAUUACCGUCUUCGAAGCCAAGAGAUUUGAUAAGGUCGGUCGCAAUUAUGAAGUUUUGAUCUUGGCCACGGUAUCCUCGUAGAUCUGCGGCUUUCUACAUUUUUUUUGACACUUUCUUGGCACAAUGCAGGUAAAGAUUGUGCGUGAGUCCAUGAAUCGGAUGAUCGAGGCGUGGAGGGAGAUCCCAGACGUGGAUGAGGAAGUCUGCUCCUCCGAUGUGCCAUCAUUGUCCCGCGCUAGAUCUUCUCUCACAGGUGAUGUGGCUUGCUACUCUUGAGGUUCUACUCACUGAUUUUUUUUCCUUCUUUUCACCCUUUUUUUUUGUGAUUUGGGUAAAUUUAAGGUCUAUGCUUGGUUUGGGGGUUUGGACUGCAUACUGUACAUUAAAGAAUAACCUGUUUGGUAAAAGACAGAUAUUUGGGUAAAACAUACUGGAUAAUAAAUAUUUUUUUGUGAAGAAAUUAUUUCGGUUUUUGAACUUAUUUUAGAUAUGCACUGCAUACAUUUGUUGGAUUUAGUUGUCUGGAUUAGAGGUGAUCAGACAACAAAUGUUCUUUACUAACAUUAUGGAUUAUAUAAUUGAACAGAGACUGUAAGUGAUGGCAGAUACCCCACUGAUUCCUUGGGCUCCAGCUCUGCCCCUUCAAUUACAAGGAGAAACUCAUGGCCGGCUAACAGGCAGCUCCCACCGGAUGCAUUGCACAAUGCCAGCAACAGAAAAGCCAGCCCUCCUUCCAACGCAAGCAAGAAAAUUUUGCCACCUCCGCGCCGCAACGCAGACCAAGCUAAGAACUAUGAGGACAAGGUUGAUAUUACUGUUGCUCCGGACGCAACACCAAUCAAAAUGGUGACCGAGGAGAAGCUCCUGAAAGAGGGAAAUGUUAGAGAGAGGCUUGAAGCGCGGAGGGUGCUGUUUCAGAAGACUGGUGAGAAGGGUUACAAGAAGUUGGUUGGUCCCAAGUCAGGAUCUAGAGUUGUUCCAUACAACGGGGAUGGUGAUUUGGAAGAGACUGCCCUGACCGAGGAUGCGCCCGAUGAACUUCAGUCAGCUCACAAGGAUGAGGACCUGUCGAAGAUCAGGAUGCAGCUGGUUCAGAUUGAGAAUCAGCAGGCCAGUUUGCUCAAUCUUCUCCAGGUAAUUAAUUAUCCCUUGUUCCCUUGCAUAUCAUAUGACAAUAAUUUGCUGAAACUCGAAUUUCACCUUUUUUUCCCUUUUCUUUUUGUUUGCUUAAGAAUCUCGCAUAUGCAUGAGUAGAUGAGAUGUCCUGGUAAGAUCUUAUUGCUUGGAAAAUUUACACCAAGCAAACUUUGGUGCAAGCUCACUCAUUCCCGCUGUUAAAAAAAAAAGAACCUACCAUUGCCUAGCAGACGUUUUUUUCGUGUAAUUUGGACUGAACGUAGGACUCAUCCUUCUUGCAUCAGGAUAUUUAUUACGUAUUAUUUGGUCACAAUGAGCAGCCAUGACCGUUUGGUAUGAAUCAUACAUUCAUUCAAUGCGUCCUGAUUGCACUAGUCAUAUCAGUAUGCAUUCAGGUCUGGACAGUGGCAUGGUGUGGGGAAAACCUGGACCGCAACAGUGCAAUAGGGCACUUACUAGCAAUACGGCAGUGUCUUAAUCACCAACUAACAUAUUAACCAUGAGGCUGGGUUAUCAGGAACAUUGAUAUUGUCUGCCUGCAUCUGUAAAGCAUCAGCCAAUGUUCUGAUCACAUCAAAUAGGCAAUAUGUUUUGCAUGUUUAGUGUAUCUUCUCCCGCUGGUCUACAAUAUUUUUUAUUUUUUUAUAUAAAACUCAAGGAUGAUUUUCCAAAACAAUGCCUAGCAUUGAAUUAUUCCUGUUACUUUUAAAUUGAAAACACUUCUGAUGCUUUAAUUACUUUUUCUUAUCAGAAAUUCAUGGGGAGCUCUCAGAAUGGGAUUCGUUCCUUGGAGACGAGGGUGAAUGGGCUCGAGAUGGUAUUGGACGAGAUAUCCCGUGAUUUGGCUGCCUCGUCAGGAAGGAUCCCAAACAGCGAACCUGACACCAAUGCAUGCUGCAUUCUGAGCCCAAAAUUCUGGAGAAGACAUGAUGGAGGUAGAUACACUUCCAGGUACUCCGUCUCAGAUGCACCAAACUACUCUGAGGAGAGCAAGACUUCUUACAAGUGGGAGAGGCAAAAGUUUGGAGCUCAGGGCGGGUUCGUCACCAACCCCUUGGCAGAGCCAAACACUUCAUCUGUAAGAAGCACAGGUAUUACCCAGGAAGGGAGAAGACGAGACUCGGCUCAAUACAGGUCAAGGUAAGGUAAUAGAAGCCACCAGUAAACUCUGUCAUCCACACGAUUAGAUUUGCUAGGUACGCUAAUGAAAAUUAGGACACUUGGAAACUGACAGCAGCAUAGCACAUGAAAGUAGUUGCUUUCUUCUUUAGCACAUCAGAAUCAAUUUAAUUAUGGCCCCUGCCCCAACCCUAAUACUAUCUACCUAUUGUGAUUGGGAUUCCUUCUCAAUUGGCACCAACCUACCUUUAUUGUCAAAUUUGCAUGGUCUUGUUAUAACAUUUUCUUAUUCAAUCAAUUGCCAACUAAAUUGUCACUCUUUCCAUUUUCUUCAGGUUGGGUUAGGUGCAACAAAAUUGGUUCAUGUGAAGUGAGAACUACUUGCCUUAGCAAGGCAGCAGAGCGUUUGAAGAUCCCACUAUUGGUGCAUUUUCGGAGGCGUUUUCUUUUCUCCAAGCUUAGAGCUGAGAUGAUACAAAUUGUGAGGUUUUAUUCAUGAGUCGCCCGGGGUUCAGACCCCUGAUAUACAGCCUAAACUCUAAAGCAAGACCCUCGCCACGAGCUAGAUAAUCAUGCAACAGACAUGAAAUUGCUGGUGGAGACUCACUGAGGGCAGAAUGCAUAUGUGGAGUUUAGCGAUGAGAAAAUUCUACGUUCUGUUUCCUUCGGAGCAGAUCCUUGCACGGACAUGUAGUCAUGGAUGUAUCUUGUACUGCUUGUAAAUAGUUUGGAUACUUAUUCCUGUGCUCGCGAGGUGUUGUCACAAUUUUUUUUCUUUGGUAUGCUGAGAUCAUAAAAGUAGGGAAAAAAACGCUCGCAGAUUGCAAUUGCAACAAAUGCAAGAUAUUCUUUGGUAUAGUUUGUUAUUCUCCCUUUUGCUGAUUCCUCUACCAGUGUGGCAAAUGCCAAGAAAGCCAGACAGAAAGUAUGGUAGGCCAAAGUGUAGUAUCAGAUCAAGAAACAUGAUGUCAAAACAACUACCCAAGGGCUGCCAAAACGUGACUACAAACUGAUCACAUAUCACGGUGUGUGAACCAGACAGUAUCAAACAGAAUGCCAAAGAUGGAUAAUCAGGUUUGGCCAAAUACCACAACAAAUCAUACGGUAUAAAGCAACGUGAAAAUAUUUGUGAACUUUGUAGCCAGGACUAGUAAAGAAGUCCCGAUAGAGAGUGUGGCGUGAGGCACUCAGCAAUCCUCACGUGCUUACAAGCAGAAUUCUGUACAUAUAAAGAUCUCAAAAGCAAGAAUCAUGUACCUAAACUAUUUCAGGUUUUUCCCAGGAGGCUGAUCACACUACGAAAGAAAAAAAAUGCAAAAUAAAAAUGUACAAAACUUCUCUGAUGUAGGUUCUUGUUGUGUGAGCAGUGGCCGGAGCAACACUCUAGUAGUGAGCAUUCGCAAUUGGACGCUAAUUGAAUUAGCUUUGCUUCAAUGUGCCGCAAAUAUUCCAAACUGCUGUGCAUAAUAACCAAGAAAAUGAAGCGUAUGCACCUUCGUGGAUAAAGAAGCUGCAACCAAAUGCAUCAGCUGCAGUUGUCAGGAAGUUCAGAGGUUCAAUCACCAACGUUACGCCAAGAGAAUGAACACAUAUACAUGCAGCACUGUAUCUGUUCCAGCUCAAUCCGGCUGCCACUAUCAACUGUUUUAGGAAGAUCCAUCUUCAGUCUUACUUGUAGGAAUGUUCAAGACCCAUCUUAAGUCUAACUUGCAGGCAAACUACUCCUGCGGUGAUGGUGGCUGUAGGUCUAAUUUGUAUGCCUGAAUCUCCAUCGGUGAGAUAAGAACGUUUCCCUCCUGAGCAACAUCACCGAUCUGCUCAAGGUACCCUAGCAUUUCAGGGUCAUCAUGUAAGAGGUUCAGCGAAGUUGCUUUCACACUCACAGCCGACAGAUCUUUGAACAUGUAGAACAGAUUUACUGGUUCUUCCCCAACUGUUGUACACUGCAGUCCACCCCUUUUGCAGUAUGAGGCGUCCCAGCCUCUCCUCUGCAACAGAAUAGCAAAUCUUGGGUCGGCUGCUUCAGAAUGAGGAAAUCUUAAAGGCUGAGGGACCUUCAGGUUCACGAUAUGCACAUCACAGGGCAAAGACGCAGUUAAUGGAGUGAAUGACUGUUGAGGCAGCUUGAAGGAUUUUUCAUGAGGUUUUUUGCUCUUAAAAGCAUGCAUUGGGUAGUUCAGGUGUGCCCCAACACGGUGCGAGAGGAGAGAUGGCUGAAGAGUAAGCAAACUGUGGGUUUUAGGCAAAGCUGAGACAUUGGACUCCCUGAGGAGAUGGAAUAUAACAUUCAUUGGCCGGUUGUCCAUUACUCCCUGCCCCAGACCACGGCCAUCAUCCUGAACCAGCCUACGAUCCAACAUAAUCUCUAGCCAUCCAGUUUUUAAGCUUGCUGCCCCUAAUGACUGCUUGGAGUGUACAGAAAACCGAUUACCAAGUGAAUCCUGCAAGAAGGCAAGUGAUGGCAUUGGGUAAUAAUUUCCCUGUAGAGGAAUCUUAUCAUAUGUCUGCCUCCUACUCAUCUGAAAGCCAUUUAGAUCAGAAUAGAAGAUCCUUUGGUUGUCAAUAUCUGUCUUGUACCUGACAAUCAGUUCCUUAUCAUUAAAAACAUGGCCAACAAGCUCAACAUGGUAUUCCUUCUCGAUCAACAUAUCCUGUAUAGAGUCCCCACAAUCGUAAAUGCGUGUGCUAUGUGAGAGAGGUGACUUAUGCCACUCCGUCUUUGGAAGAGAAUGAGCUUCUUGAACCAAUGGCCCUUCAGUAAGGAUGAAAUGUCCUCCUUCCUCUACAAUUGAGCGAGCCUGCCCAAUUGGUUUGAACAAGUAUGCCCCACUUCCAUGGCUUCUGUACAUGCCAAUUUCUUCACCUAUCACAGUUUGUUCCCCAUCCUUGAGACGAGUUACUGUCUGAAGAAGGCCAUGACUUACAUCAAAAGAAAGAGUGUAAUAAGAGUUCUUCAUUUCCACUGUUUUGCCUUCCAGCUUUGAACAAACAUAUGGUUCAGGGCAAGGAAAUCGCUGUGAAGCUGUGAAUGUUUUUACAACAGCAGGAACAGCCUUUUCACAAUCCUGCCCAGUAACCACAUAGUAGGUCUCCAAACCUAGUGCAGGAACAGAAGCCCUCCAAUAAAGACGGUGCCGGCCUGUCGAAAUCUUUUCAUCGCUGACAAACUCCCACUCUGGGGAAACUUGACUUUGCAAACAGGAACCAUUCGAAUUGAGAACAGAAAUGUCAGGAGUACUUACAACAACCAUAACAAUCUCAUCCCUUGUUUGUUCUAGUGGGUUAAAAAAGACAACUGACUGUGCGUUCCCUUCAUGAGGGUCAAGAACCUUAUGCACUGGCUGAACAUCAUACUUUGAACGUUCCUGCACUGGUUCAAAAUGUGAUAGCAAUGUAGGGUCAGAUCUAUCAUGGAAAUCUCCUAAAAGCACUUCGACAGCCCUGGACAUAAAUAACUGUAGAUCUUGCAGUGAAGUGUGCAUUCGAGUGCCAUAGUCCACCACAACAUGAUCCUUAGCUGUGCCAGUAACCCCAUCAUGAUGUUGAAAAAGAGCCAAAUUCCUCCUUGCUGCUGUCAGUUUGUGUGAGAAGCUGAUGGGGAGUUUAGCACACUGAAACUUCUGACAGUAUCCUAGAACAAAUGAACCCAGAAUCUCUGAGGCUCGGAGCGUCUGUUCUAGUACACGGUCAACAGCUUUGAAGAAUGGCCUCGACACAUAGUAACCACUCCAGUAAUCCUGAUUUCGAUCAGCAUAUGUGAAGAAAUCCCCUGAAAGUGUUGGAAAACCUUGCAGCUCAGCAGAACCCAAUUCACCCGGGCGUGAAUAGUUUAUCUUUUCAGCUUCAUCUCUCAGUGUGGAGAAGUAAUCCUCCAGGGUACCAAAUUUGACUUCAGCAUUGAGAUGGGGGUUAGAGUUUAUGUAAUCAAAAAGCUUCUCGUAAUUGCGGAAUUGUACUUCUGCUUCCUCCACACUAACAUAUCGGAAAUCAUCACCCAAAGGAAUGAGAAGUGUAUUCGUUCUGUACAGGGUUGACUUUUUCCUGUACUGAUCUAGAAGUUUUGUUGCUCUCUCUUGCACAUUGUCAGUAUCUGUCUCAACAGGAUCAAAUCUCCAUGGGCAGGAUUCAUAGCUGAAACCACGCAUUCGAGCAAAGUCAAACUGGCAGCAGAUAGCUGGUUCAGGUCCACAUGUGUGUGGAAUGUCAUAGGAAUAGAAGGGCAUCAUAUGAACAAAUAUGUCAGUUGUUUCUUCAAUAUCCCAGUUCUGCCUCCACAAAUAUUCAAGAUUCUUUUUCACUGCAAGCUCCUUUUUCAGCUCAUAGUGCGUUCUCUGGAUUAGCAUGUUAUGGAAACCCAUUCUCCUAAGCAAAUAGGCCAUUGUAGAUGAAUAACCAAAUGGGUCGAUCGACCAAGAAUUUUUAGGAACAACUCCAAUAGUAUCAUUGAGCCACAUGUUCCCCUCCAUCAUCUGUGAAAGAAAUCACAAAGGUCAAUAAAUUUCAUCAUAAUUAAAUAAUACGCGUUACAAUCAUAUCCAAAAAGAACCAAUCGGUAUCAACUUUGCUCCGAUGGACCCAUACCAAAUCAGGCAUUAUAGUGCAAAAUUAAAAUAUCAAUUUUGCAUUAAAAUAUAUAUAGCAUAUAGCCCGAUUCCAACGAGAUGUACUGCAUGUACUCCCUUGGUUAGAUUGGUAAAUUUCUUCUUGAACCCAAAAGUCAAGCAACAGUGUGGAACUUACAAGGAAAAUCAAUAGUCACUCCUUAUGGACUAUAAAAUUGGUCUUUUGAUACGGUUUUCCUUUCAAAUAAAAACUUCAAUGAUGCAUUUGUCUCACUUGAUAAGUAAAAAAGGAUUGACUAAAAACCAUAUGUAAAUACAAGUAUACAACAGACACCGGUAGUAUCCAUUCUAAAUGGCAAAGUGGUAUGAGGCGCAAGCCAUUGGCCCAGGUUCAAUCCCCAGGCACCCAGUUUGGAAGGAAAAAAGAUGUGUUCUCUUCCUUGGAUAAUAUAUAGGAGCAAAGAGACAAGGACUGAUUGCCCUGGCAAAAACUAGGGGAGAAUCAAAGAAAACAAUCAGCUGCCUAGAUCCCAACAUAAAUGUGAUAUAAGACACAAGGUCCACAUAUCUUUCUCAUAUCAAAUGGUGUUCUCCAAUUGACACCUCACUAUCAUCGAGGGCAGUGUUUUAAAGGCGUCGCCUAGGCAUCUAGGCGGACCCAGCUCACCUUGGAAACCGGUCCACCUUGUCGCCUAGGCGAUAAGGCGUGCAAAGAUUUCCAAGGUCGCCUUAUCGCCUUUAAAACACUGAUCGAGGGGGUAGGCAUUUAAGGAAUUUGUUUUUCUUUUCUAAUCCAUGAUAUAGACCCAUCCAGUUAGCGGUUUCUUUAAAAGCUUCCGGAUUUAGGAUUUCAUGCAAUGGGCCAUGAUAAAGUUGUAUCAUCCCACUGGACUAUGCUAAUUAGAUUUCGUAUAUUCAAAUAUAAGCAAAUAUGUACAUUCAUAAGCGUUAUUAGGCGCUAAGCAGGAAACUGCACAACGAAACACACUGGAAAAAGCAAUAACAUGUUCCAACUAUGACAUAGCUAGUCCCCAUAGGCCAUAAGUUCUUCCUGUUGUCAUCUCAAACCAAGAGUAUGACGUUAUCUUUUUUGGUUAUACUAUCCCAAAGUUUGUGAUGUGCUCUUGCUCAAGUUUGAGAAAUGAAGAAAACUUGAUCCCAGCUUUCAAACGUGAGAAAAAUAUAAUGCUACUAUACUAGCAAAUAGCAUCAAACCAGAGUCUAUAGCACAUCCUCUGAGUGUUUUUUUUUAUAUGUACAGUUCCAUGUGUUUUUCAACAUGGUGCACAUCAAAUAAGAAAGGGAUAAAGAAUGCACUUUGUUUACACAUCAGCUACAGACAGUCAUAAUAUAACGUUUAGCAAAGAGCAAAGAUAUAAAAGUGUACUUGCCUGUUCUAUGAUGGCGAAGUAGUGCGAGUUUGCCUGCGUUGAGAAACAAAUGAAAUUCAAUUUAGCUUCCUUUUAAAGAGAAAUAACUUUGAGGAAAUACUUUGCCGGAAAAGAUUAAAUCAACAGACAGGACAACCGAAAUGGCAGUGUUAUAAAACAGGAUACUAGAUACAUAGGAGCACAACAUCUGUUGAAAGAAUGGCUGAACACAAAUAAAGCUCACAGCAGAAACAACAUACUAAACGGAAACAAAUAAAUUAAACAUGCCAGUGCUGUUUGUGACUAUUUAGCCAGUCUUGACUGUUGAAUCUCCUCAGCAUGUGUACUAAUAUGCAAAUUUUCUAGAGCAACAAAGCCUGGUACUAUAGUUUAUGUAGCAUAAAUGCAUGCUCAGCUGCCACAGAAUCUAUAAAUUUCCUAAGUAUGAAGUGGACAGGUAGCACAGAAGUCACAAAUACACAACACCCUACAAGCAGACUAGGCCCCAAUUGACUCCUAAGCAUAGAAACUACAAGUACACAAAUCCAAAAGAAGUUACACUCAAUUCAUGCCUAAAUAUGAAACAUCGUUGAAUACAUACAUGGUACUAAGAUUCGAGAUCACAAUGUGCGCAAGGAGAAACAGUGAAAUACAAUGAUACAGCAUCCUAGUUCUGCAAGCACAGCACGCCAACGUUCAUUCCUAAUCACUAGGCAACUAGGUAAACGUGAAAUAAAAUUCCAUUCCGUUCGUUCAUGGCCUAGACAGAUGGUGCAAGCACAGCAUGUCAAUGACAAACACAAACAAUGAAACAGAAACUGCAGUCUACUCCUUAAACCCCAUCUAAACCACAGAAUUUUGCUUCCCUCUCACCUCAUCGUUCAUGACCCAUCCGCCGCUCACGAUUUCGAGUUGCCCAUCACGUACAAGCUUAGCGAACGCCUCCUGCUUCUUCCGCGGUGCGUCGCGCCACCACCUCUCCAGGUACGACAUCUCCUCCCAUAUGAACUUCCUGCGCGAAUCCUACAACAUAGCAGACUCCUGAUGAUCGUCGAGAGGGGCAGAGCACCAGAGCCCAAAAGCAAAUCUCGAGUGGGGAGAAGUCGACAACAACCUUGGAGAGGGACUCGACGAUGGUGUCGAGGAUGUGGCGCGACUGACGCUCGUAGUACUCCUCGACGGUGCGGAUCCAGCCGGGGUCGUUGUGCGAGUGCGGCGCGACGAAGACCUUGAGCUUCUCGCCGUCCCACUCGUCGCCGCGGUACUUGACCUCCCACCCCUGCUUCCAGGCGCCGCCGUCGACGUCGAGGAACUGGAUCCGAUCGUAGAGGUCCCUCGUGGUGAUGUCCACGGGCGCCUCUCGCCCGAUCCGCGCGGCCACGGCGGCCGCCGCGGCCUCGGCGGCGGCCGAUUCGCGGUGGCGGAAGGCCGGCCUGCGGGUGAGGCGCGCGCGGGGGCGAGCGGGGGGCGGCCGCGCGGCGGCGGGGCGGGAGGAGGGGAAGCCGAGGCGGAGGAAGGCGAGAACGAAGAGCGCGGCGAAGGCGGCCGCGGCGAGCCAGAGGGCGCGGCGGGAGUAGGGGGAGGAGGCGGAGUGGGGGCCCCCGCGGCGGCGGGAGGAGGCGGGCGCGGAGAGGGAGGACUUGGAGCGGAGGUGGUGGUGCGCCUUCGGCUUGGAGGUGGUCGGGAGGAGCGCGCCGGAGCGGCCCCCGCCGCCGCCGGAGAAGAAAGGCAUCGCCGCAGGCGAGGGGGAGUGGCCUGACUGACCUCCGCGCGCGGGGUCGGCUCGAGUGGGUGUGGCUUUCCGCCCGUGCCCGGGUCCGGCACCGGCGAUAUUUUGAGCGCUUCGUUUGAUUCGCGAGUCGGGUGGGCCCUGGUGAGAGCUCGUACGAAUGGUAUGUUUCGCUGACGCGUUGGGCCUUAGGUUCAGGUGGGCAGCGAUUCAAGUGGGCUGUCACGGUGGCGCCAUGAAGUUUUUGGUUGGUGAGUUUGGUGUUCAUGGUGGCGGAGCUUGCAAGCCAUCAUCCAUCAUGACUCCGUUUUUUGAGGUGAACUGGGAACGGAUUCGUUCGGACUUUGGAGGACAACUGUGGAAUGGAGUACGUGACUGUCGUGAGAUUUUUCUUAGCCCUUGUUUACUUCCCACAAAACUCCCAACUUUAACACUAUGCAAAAAGAAGAUUCCCCAUCACAUCAAACUUGUGGUACAUGCAUGGAGUACUAAAUGUAGACGAAAUCAAAAACUAAUUGCACAGUUUUGUUGUACAUUGCGAGACGAAUCUUUUGAGCCUAAUUAGUCAAUAUUUGGACAAUAAUUCACAAAUACAAACGAAACGCUACAAUAUCGCAUUUAUGGCAAAAUGCCAAUUUGGCACCUCCCAACUUCCCAAGUAAACAAGGGCUUAGACGAGUUACUGUAGCAUGCAAACUCAUUUCCGUAAAAAAAGUCACCUAGCUCAUUUCCGUAAAAAAAGUCACCCAGCUGGUUAGCAACUCCAAGAUACUGCUAAUCUUACCCCCAAUACCUUUUUUAAGGGAAAAAAAGAGAAAAAACGAACUCCAACAGUCCAUCCAACCUUCCCCAAUUUUUUAGCAACGCUAAAAAACAACCUACCACCGCAUAUAUUUUAGUGUUGGCAUUCCUCCCCUAAUUCUGAUUCCCGCACGCUCGCGCGUCCCUUCCGAUGGACCCAAUACGAUGACGUGGCCUGUUUUAAAAUAUUGGGGGCUAUUUAUUAGCGAUUUGCUUUGGAUUGAUAUAUUUUUGGGGGAAUUUUUUUUGAAGAACCCCAAUACAUAGUUUUAGGGAAGAAUUUUUUGGAGUACUCUUGAAAUUGCUCUUAGCCAACUUUGUGAACCAAACAGACCUCUGGAUUUUCUCCCAACCUCAUAGUAUAAGAGCAAUUCCGUCAAUAGUCUUUAAAUCAAAAUUCCUAAAGAUCAAACGAAGGUUCUCUCUUUUUAGUACCACGAAAAUAUUUUCAACUCCAGCAAUAACCCCCAUAGAGAAAGAGCUCCCUAGAGAUCCCCAGAAACGGAGGGUGGAGGGAGGAAUUUGGAGGCCUCCUCAUAAUAGGGAGACAAGUAGAGGACAUGUUGGGGUGCGAUUUUUUUAUCUGAUCCUUUAAACUUGGGAUAGAAGUUGUUUAGAGGAUCUGCUGAGAGAGAGAAAAGAAACAGAGGUGCGAUACACUUAGAGUGCAGGUGCUAGCUUAGCAAAGUCCUGGCACCGGAGCCCAAUGGCUGGUUUGGUUCCUCUGACUUAUUUUUAGUACCCGUCACAUCGAAUGUUUAGAUACUAAUUAGAAGUAUUAAACGUACUAUUUACAAAACCUAUUACAUAAGCGGAGGCUAAACGGCGAGACGAAUCUAUUAAGCCUAAUUAGUCCAUAAUUUGACAAUGUGUUACUACAAUAAACAUUUGCUAAUGAUGAAUUAAUUAGGUUUAAUAGAUUCGUCUCGCCGUUUAGCCUACACUUAUGUAAUGGGUUUUGUAAAUAGUCUACGUUUAAUACUCCUAAUUAGUAUCUAAACAUUCGAUGUAACACGUGCUAAAAAUAAGCAAAGGGAACCAAACACCCUCUAAAUAUCACAAAGAUGAACAGUAGCUCCAUGGUUGGUAGAAUGCAUUGAGGUUCCAAGUUUGAUUCUUGGCCUCUGCUAUGGUUAAUUGACACACUGCUUCUGCUCGAAUUCAGUUUGCAGAGCAAGGCUACCUCGGUGAGAUCCGUGAGGCAGCCCUUGUCAGAACUGAGGAACAACGCACACGACGGCAGCAACGACCUCCACUCCACACGCCGUCGCGAUAACCCCCCAGCGCGGGCAAGCCAAAACCACAAACACCAGAAGGGCACGCGGACUCGCGGAGGCAGAGCUCUCCUCACCCCCUCAGGCUCAGCCAUGGAGGUGGCCGCUCUCUCUCCCACCUCCCGCCCCCUCCCCCUCCUCUCCACCGCGCCAGCCCACCGCCUCCGCCUCCUCCCUCCCCGCUUCGUCUCCGGCCGCAGGCUCCGCCCCUCACCUCGACACCAAGGUAAGCCCCCCUCCUCACGCUCACUGGGAGGCCUGCUCCUGUUCAAAUUGUACAAUCUGCAGCAUCGGUUCCAGAGUUGGUACGGAUUUCAUGUGUGGGAGCGUAUGUUGUGGUUGCAGGGUUUGGCUGCGUGAGAGAUGGCUGGGGACAAAGGCAUUCUGCUCGUGAGAACGGAUUCUUCCUAACAAACAACUCGUCAGGUUCUAUUAUUCAGCAUAACACCUCUGCCAUUUUACUAGCAAUUGGUAAUUUGUUUGCGACUACUGUUCUCGUUCGACGUCACAAUGUUUUCUCCCCUGAUCUGCAGCCUCAGUAGAACCAGCAACCCAGGAAGUGGGCACCGCUAUUCCAGGGGAGUGGAGCGGGGACGCAAUACGGCGACGGUUCCUUGAAUUUUAUGCUGCCCGCGGCCAUAAGAUCCUCCCUAGCUCGUCGCUUGUGCCCGAUGACCCAACAGUGCUCCUUACCAUCGCAGGGAUGCUUCAGUUCAAGCCUAUAUUUCUUGGCAAGGUGCAUCUUAUGAAUUGCAUAAUGUUUUGUUAGUGCGUCUAAAAUAUAUUUGUGGAAGGGACGCAUGGCAUCAGAACAAACAAUUAUGGUUUAUGAAUAUCUGCUUCUAUAAGAUGGGAAAUUCUGAAUGUGGUCGGUAAAAUGGGAAAUGUUGCGCAAAAUAGAUAAGCAUAAACACGUUGUUACCCAUAGGGACAUCUUGUAUUCUUAUUUACAGUGUUUUGGAUGAGUGGUGUGUUUUGGAAUUUGUGGGAUGAACUAAAUCAUUACGAUUCAAAAAAGUUCCUUCACUCCCUCCUAGUCCAAAGUUACCCCAUACCUCUUUUUAGAUUCAUGUACGUUUUUAUCUGUUGGUAAGGUGUUAAACAAUCUGUUUUUAUCUGUUGAAAUGCAUACAUGUUUUAUGCAAACAGCAGUUCUAUGUGAAUAAAUAAAAGGUAAAACUUUAUAACUGCAAGGACAUUUUCUAAGGAUUUAUUCAUAAUCAUUUAUUUGAAUGGGUAGAAUAAUCUAAUGCUAAUCUUAGCAUGAUCCUACAUGUUUUUGGUAAAUUUGUAACAGCAAUAAGAUUCUAUCUCUAUUUAUAAUCAUAUAAUCCUGGCUUCAACAUGCAACAGUUUCAGAAUACUUCAUUUUGAUGUUCUUAUAUUGCCACGUACAGGAACCUAGGCGUGUGCCAUGCGCCACUACCUCCCAGAAAUGCAUACGAACAAAUGACAUUGAAAAUGUGGGACGCACAGCUCGACACCAGACCUUCUUUGAGAUGCUUGGGAACUUCAGCUUUGGCGAUUACUUCAAGAAGGAAGCAACCGCAUGGGCAUGGGAGCUGGCAACCAAGGAGUAUGUACAGUUCCUUUAUUCCUCAUGGAGCUUGGUCUCCUUAUUGGUGAAUUAUAAGCUGUUCAUCUGAAAAGUUUGCCAUGUGUUUGCGUAUUACCAUAGAGACAUUCAUACUCAUAUGCUUCUAGGAUCUCAGAGUUGUCCUAACGCAUUUGUAUUGUCAGGCAUCAAUUGGUAUUAACAUGCUCUUUGUUACCUGGAAAGAUAAUACUUGCAUUUGAACCAUCAAUGAUUUGUAUAAAACAGGAACUGGGUGAUCAGUAUUGCUGUAGUUCUGUGAUUUCUGUCAGCGCUAAUGAUUGGCAUGUCGGGCUUUACAUUUCCAGUGAUCAGAAAGCUUUUUACCCAUGUCUUUAGUUCAUUUAAUUUUACAAGUUUUUGAGUAUCUUGUUCUCAUUCUCUUUAUUUAGGUAUGGGUUGCCUGCAGAAAGGCUGUGGAUUAGUGUUUUCGAAGAUGAUAAUGAAGCAUUCAACAUCUGGCACAAUGAGGUCAGCUAUCUAAAAUUUAUAUUUGAUUUUACCACAUCUCACUACCAAUUUAAGAGUACAGGAGCACAGUGCACAGUUAGAAAGCGAGCUAUGUCUUAACCACAUUUCAUGAUCUUUGCUCUUUGAUAGCUUUUGUUUUAUUUGACAACUGUAAACUGUAGUAGAUGGUAGAGUACAGAUUUACGGUUAUGAUUCAUUGAUCAUCUUUAAUUGUCAAAGAAUGCAUAUUCUGUUCACAAGAGGCACAGGGGUUAUAUUUCAUAACCUGUGGAUGGCGUAUGGCCGUUAAAAGAUAUUUGUUCCAUAUUAAUUGGCAGUUGUCUUGCAGUAUGAGUGAUGGAUUCUAUAUCUCUUUAUUUUAUGAAGGUUGGUGUACCAAAAGAGCGUAUAAAGAGGAUGGGUGCGGAAGAUAACUUUUGGACUAGUGGCGCAACUGGACCCUGCGGACCAUGCUCUGAAAUGUAUUACGAUUUCUAUCCUGAGAGAGGAUCAUCAGAUGCGGUGUGUAAAGAUGCCUGUGGAAUUAACAGUUUAAAAAAUUUACAUGUUUUUUUAUUGUAUGUAAGAGAUUCUCAAUAACUGAAAUUAGUGAUAUCCAUAUAGUUGUGUGCAGGAUUUGGGCGAUGAUAGUCGAUUCAUUGAAUUCUAUAAUCUCGUCUUUAUGCAAUACACCAAAAAGGAUGAUGGAUCGCUAGAACCAUUGAAACAAAAGAACAUCGACACAGGAAUGGGCCUUGAGCGUAUGGCACGUAUUCUUCAAAAGGUAUUGCCUAUCGUUUUUUUUCUCAGAAAAUGAUCUGCCAUACUUUUUUUUUCUUAAGUUAUGAUCUAACUCAAAAUUGUUAUUGUCUAUCAUAGGUUCCAAACAACUAUGAGACAGACUUGAUUUUCCCAAUUAUAGAAAAGGCAGCUAGCUUGGCGUUGGUGUCCUAUGCUAAAGCUGAUGAUGCUGUGAAGACAAAUCUUAAAGUGUGUUAUUCAGGAUGUAGUACUUGCUUUAUGACAAAUAUUGGGAUACCUAUAACCUUUGAUUUUUUUUCUAUUUUUCCAGAUAAUUGGCGAUCACAUGAGAGCGGUUGUUUAUCUCAUAUCAGAUGGGGUUCUUCCCUCGAAUAUUGGGAGAGGGUAUGUUGUUCGAAGGCUAAUAAGAAGAGUAGUUCGGACGGGUAGAUUGAUAGGUAUAAGAGGUGAUGGUCAUGGAAAUCCUGAAGGUGCAUUUUUACCUGCACUAGCUGAGGUAGUGAUCAGCCUUAGCACUCAGAUAGAUCCAGAUGUCGAAUCACGAAGGAAAUCUAUUAUUGGAGAACUUCAAAGGGAAGAGCUACGAUUUGUCCAGACCUUGGGAAGGGGUGAAAAGUUAUUAGAUGAACUUCUAGAUGAGGCCUUACUAAGUGCUGGUAAUAAUGGAAAUAAACCUUCUCUAUCUGGAAAAGAUGUUUUCCUUUUGUACGACACAUAUGGUUUUCCAGUAGAGAUUACAGCUGAAAUAGCUGGUGAACGAGGUGUCACUGUUGAUAUGAAGGGAUUUGAUAUUGAAAUGGAAAACCAAAGGAAACAAUCUCAGGCUGCUCAUAAUGUGGUCAAACUUUCUGUAGGAAAUGAGACUGAGAUAGUCAAGAGCAUCCCUGAUACUGAAUUUCUGGGAUAUGACUCUCUCUCUGCCACUGCUGUUGUUAGAGGUCUCCUAGUUAAUGGAAACCCAGUUAAUGAAGUUUCUGAAGGUUCUGAAGUAGAAAUAUUAUUAGAUCGGACACCAUUCUAUGCUGAAUCAGGUGGUCAAGUUGGCGAUAAUGGUUUCUUAUAUGUGAAUGGAGGUGCGGAUAGAAAACAAACAGCAGUCAUAGAAAUCAAUGACGUCCAAAAAUCUAUAGGAAAUAUAUUUGUGCACAAAGGCACGAUUAAGCAGGGAUCUAUAGAGGUUGGCAAGGAAAUUGAUGCUUCUGUUGAUGCAAAGUUGAGGCAGGGGGCUAAGGUAUGAAAUUGUGGCAUUGUAUUGCUUCUUUUGGUUACCUCUUUUAUUUUGUUGCUCAUUUUUAUUUGAAAUUGCAGUAACUAGAGUUCUGAUUUAAUUACAUGGUCUUUAGGUGGUCUUUAAACAAGAAACAAAGGAAUAUUAUUCAUGCCUUAUGAUAGCAUCGCGUGUAACAUUUCGGAUCAUAUAUGCAAAUUUGUUAGUACUAUAGAUUAUAACUUUUGUUUCGUGACUGUCAUUGAUUAGCUUAGCUACUAUAGUUAUAACCAUUUUUUUUUGUUAAAAUUCAGACAUGAACUCUGUUCAAUGAAUAUCUUUACUGAAACAAAUAUUAUCAUGUCAUUAGUCAUUACAUUUUUAUAUAACCUCGUUCUGUUUCUGGUACUGUGUAGGCCCAUCAUACUGCAACACAUCUACUGCAAUCUGCUCUUAAAAGUGUGGUUGGUUCAGAAACUUCACAGGCUGGUUCCCUUGUGGCGUUUGACCGUCUCCGAUUUGACUUCAAUUUCCAUCGCCCCCUUUCUGAAGAGGAAUUGGUGAAAAUUGAAUCACUCGUAAACCAAUGGAUUGGCAAUGCAACGCAUCUGGAGACAAAAGUCAUGGCUUUGCAAGACGCAAAAAAUGCUGGUGCCAUUGCGAUGUUCGGAGAAAAAUAUGGUGAAGAGGUUGGUAUAUCUUAAAACAAGAUUAAUGCUGAAGAGAUUAAGAUAUUGCAUUAGUGUGACUGUAAGAAUCAUGAAAGCUGAUGCAUUAUGCAUCUGAAUUUAAAGGAGCAAUUAUGCCAAAAAAAUUAUUAUGAAUGGUAGAAGCAGUACUGUUAGAGCAUCAGUAAUGAGUAUUUGCAAAUGAGGAUCUUAAUUAUCUUUAAGAUUCAUACUAUUCAGUUUUUAGGAAAGCAUAGAAUCAAUAGUGAUGAUGAAACUUAUAUUAAUUUGUAUUUUGCUCCAAUAGGUCAGAGUCGUAGAGGUCCCUGGGGUCUCAUUGGAACUCUGUGGUGGAACGCAUGUCAGUAAUACUGCUGAGAUCCGUGGUUUCAAGAUAAUCUCAGAACAGGGAAUAGCUUCUGGAAUCAGAAGGAUAGAGGCAGUCGCAGGUGAUGCAUUUGUCGACUAUGUCUGUGCUCGGGACAACUACAUGCGACGCUUGUGCUCAUCCCUUAAGGUAUGAUGGCAUUCGUAUUGUAGAAAGCGUGCUCAUUCCUUUCUUGUUUAUCAUGCUUCUGUUUGUCAGUUGGGCAGCUAUACUUUUAUUUAUCCGAUGGUCUUUAUCUCCUGUUCAAAUGGACUUUGGAUUUGUUACUUCAAGUGUUUUGAACCCCGUUUGUAAUUGAAAUCUGCAUGCCUCUUACUAUUGAUCACAGGCAUGUGUGCUAAUGUGCACUGCGUACUUGCAACUUUGCCCAAAAAUUACUUGAUUUGAGACAUCAUGUUAGUUAUUUACAUUGGUAGAGUGAUUGACAGUAUGUUUCUCCACUUACAUUUUCCAAUUGAUGUUGUAACCGUGUGACUCAUGUUUCAGGUUAAGGCUGAAGAUGUGAAUGGCAGAGUAGAAACGAUUCUUGAAGAACUAAGAGCAACCAGAAACGAAGUAUCAACUCUACGCAGCAAAAUCGCGGUGCUCAAAGCAGCAUCUCUUGCAAGUAAAGCCACAACCGUCGAACCCCACAAUGUCAGGUACUUGCUUUAGUUAUCGCCAAAUGCAUCCUCCACAUCUCUACAUGCCCAGUCUUCAAAGGUGCCAUGUGCUACCAAAAGGGUGACCACCUCUCUCUCAACUCGAAAGUUGGCAAAGACGAUCUGACCUAAUAUCUGUUUUCUGCAGGGUCGUGGUCGAGAACAUGGGCGACGUGGACGCUGACGCGCUGAAAAGCGCCGCCGAGUACCUCAUAGGCACCCUGCAAGACCCUGCUGCAGUGAUCUUGGGAUCAAGCCCGGGAGACGGUAAAGUCAGCUUGGUCGCCGCCUUCAGCCCCGCAGUCGUCAAGAUGGGGCUGCAGGCAGGUAAGUUCGUUGGCGGCAUAGCGAAGCUCUGCGGGGGAGGCGGCGGGGGCAAGCCCAACUUCGCGCAGGCUGGUGGCAGGAAGCCGGAGAACUUGCUGGACGCCCUUGAGAAGGCCCGAGACGAGAUCGUCGCGGCGGUGUCGUCGAGUUCCAGCUGAUCCUUCACUCCAUACUUGAUAGCAGUAUAUGCAUAGGAAAUGUAAAGGUGUGAUGGCCAUUGGGCAUUGGCAGCCAGGAAAAAAACAGUUUUGGAUACUCUACGUUCUGUGCAGACGAUGGAGCAGUUUUUGUCAGUUGUAACUAGGCAGCAAUACCUGAGAGGAGGGGGCAAAAAAUCAGAAUCAAGUUUCAUACGCAAACAGACUUCGUUAUCAUUGUGGUGCCUUUUGUCAACCGGAGAACGGGAAGUUCUUCCGGAGAUCACGAGGGGAAAUGAUGUAGCGAGAGUGGCUGUCCGCCCUUUCCGGGGCAUUGCUGCCGCUGCCGGGCAUCCAAAAGACCAAAACGAUAGGAGGAAGGUUUCAAACCGGCACGUGCGUUCCCCUCCCACUCCCUGCCAUGAUUCCAUCACACCGACAUGCGCAGUCCGCCCCUACCCACUCCAAUCAUCCGCUUGCCGAGCCCAUCGCCCCCCAUGGCCCCAACCCCACCCAAACUACCCGAGUGCCCAGCCACCUCUGCCGAGGCAGCCAUCACCGACAGGCGGGACCCGCACGGCGCCACAGCCCCAUCGAGCCCAAGCGCCCAGAGGCGGGCCCGAGCCCAGCCGCAACCCAAGAAAAAGGCCAAAAAGUUGGAAGCGGCCGAGCCGCGACAGCGCGGGGGUGGAGGCGUUUGAAAAGUGUGGGUGGAGCACCUGGAGCCGCCGCCGCGGGCGCCAAAUUACCCAACGGCCACGCGUGAAUUCUCGCCGCGUUGCCCCCAUCCGACUCCGAUCCCCGCAGAUCUACGGGGUGGAAAGGACAAUCGAAAAAAAAAUUACUUCGAGCGGCAGAGGGAUUCCCUACUCUCCUCCCCUUCCGUUCCCUCCCCCGCCCGCGCCGCGCCAACCAAACCCUCCCCCGAGCUCCCGCGCCCGCGAUGGACGCCGCCUCCGCAGCCGCCGGGCCCUCCUCUUCCGCCGCUGAAGCCGCGGCCGCCGGUCCCUCCUCUUCAGCCGCGGCCGCGAGGCCCUCCUCCUCCUCCGGCGCCGAGCCUCCCGCGGCCGCCGCCCAGCCGCCGCCUCCGGCGGCGGCUCCGCAGGUGCUGUUCCAGGUGCCCGUGCAGGUCGGCGGCGCCAGCAGCGGGAGCGGGAGCAGCGUCGCGCGGGCCUGCCGGCACCACGCGUACAGCCGCAAGCAGAAGUCGCUCGGCCUGCUCUGCUCCAAGUAAGCCUCUCCCGCCUCGUCCUAGUCCGCGUCGAACCCCCUCCCCCCUCGUGGGCUCGUGCCGUGCGGCGGUGCUCUGACCUAGGUUCGCUCCCCGCGGCGGCGGCGGUGGGGGGUUGGCUGCAGCUUCGUGGCGCUGUACGACCGGGAGGACGUGGAGACGAUUGGGCUGGACGACGCGGCCAAGCGGCUCGGCGUCGAGCGCCGCCGGAUCUACGACAUCGUCAACGUGCUCGAGAGCGUCGGGGUGAGCCGCGGUUUCCCCCCAGCUCUCGUUCUUUUUCUGCUUCCAAUCUUGAUCGAUGCGCGCUCAAUUCUUCGGGGCUUGCAGAUUCUUGUGCGGAGGGCCAAGAAUCGGUACACGUGGCUCGGAUUCGGGGGAGUCCCUGCAGCGCUGAAAGAGCUCAAGGUCUGUCUAGGUUCCCCCCUUCUCCAUUCCCACCACUUUGAUUUUCAUCUUGCCUCCAAAUUAUAAUCCCGUAGCUCAUAAUUUACCCCCUUUUCUCAUUGUUCGGUUUGAUCAGGAGAGGGCGUUGAGGGAGAUGUCCGGAUCACCAGUGUUACUGCCCAUGGAGGAGUCAUCCACUGCUAAUGUUAGUUUCUUCUAGUUGAUUCAGUUGCCCUUGGCCGUGGUACAAGUUACUUGCUGCUAAAAUUACCAUUUCCUCUGGAUUUUGUGGUUGCAAAGCUCUCUGACGAUGAAGAUGAUAAAUUGGAGGAUGGUGAUGAGGAUGCUGAGAGCGAGAAGCUCAGCCAGUCCAUUGACAAUACAUCUGAUAAGCCUGACGCACCUGGCUGCCGCCUUAGAUCUGGUAUAGCUGCUUAACCUUGUUCCUGCUACACCUGGUGACUUCUAUGCUAUACGCGGACUUGGAGUUUGAGUGCUGUAAUUGCAGAUCAUCGGAAGGAGAAGUCCCUCGGGUUGCUCACUCAGAAUUUUGUCAAGCUCUUCCUCACCAUGGAGGUGAGUGGCACUGAAUUUGUCCCCUGUUCUGCGGCGUUUUCCCAUUGAGAUUGACUUUAAUGGGGUUUCCAUCUGGUGCAGGUUGAGACGGUCUCACUGGAUGAAGCUGCUAGGCUUCUCCUUGGAGAGGGACAUGCUGAGAGCAAUAUGAGAAGUUAGUGCAUGCAUUUCUUUGUUUAGUUCCAUGCUUGUGGCUAUGCUUUUCCUAUCCAAGUAGAACUCAGAUGAUCCUAAUAUUUGUGAUGCAGCCAAAGUUCGGCGAUUGUAUGACAUUGCCAAUGUACUAUCUUCUUUGAACCUCAUUGAGAAGGUAGGCUCUUGAUCGCCUGCCGUUUCAAUUGAAUGGAAAUGAUUAUUCUGCUUAGCAUUGAUUCUUCGACUGUUUUGGUUCAGACACAGCAAGCUGACACAAGAAAGCCUGCGUUCCGGUGGCUGGGCCAAGCAAAGCGAAUGCAAGAGAACAAUGUCACGGUUGCUCUAGCCCCUGUCAGGCCCAAUAAAAGAGCAUUUGGUACUGAUCUUACAAACAUUGACAAUAAGCGGGGCAGGUUGGACUCCGCAAUGGAGAACAAAGCCAAGCUCAUGCAGGGUGCUGGCAACAUAGUGAAGACUUUUGAGAGGCAGCUGGGGCAAGGAAACAGGAGUGACUUUGUUUAUGGGCCCUUCCACCCUGCUGUUGCAAAGAAACAGGAAACUGAUGAUCACACCAUUAAGCAGAAGGAGAGAAGGACCAUUCAGGACUGGGAAAACCUUGCUGUGUCCUUCCGUCCGCAAUACCAAAACCAAGGUGAGCUUAACAUAUCCUUCCCAAAUGAUUCAGACUUACUGAAUCUUGUUUAAAGAAACAAAACUGCAUUUUUUAAAAGAGUCUGGAAAAUACAUUAGUUACUGUGAAAUGUUAUGAUGAAAUGUUAAAGGUUUGGUAGAUUUUCUAGAGAUUUAUAUUGUCAUAAAUGUCAAAUUUUAGCUUUCCACCUCUAACAAUGUACUAUAUAAUAAACGAAUCAAGUAGCAAUACUACUACUUGCCUUAUUAGUUGUGCACUUAAUAUUGUCUGCAGUACGAUGUCUAAAAAGCAACAUCAACACCAACAGCCAGUAAAACCAUAAAGGCGAUUAUAUAUGUGACCUAAACUCAGAUACGAAAGAAACAUUUACAUUUUACAAUUGAAAGUUCUUAUUCUAAAACCAGUCAAGGCUUAAUAUUUCCAUGUUAUUACUAGUGAUAGAUAUUUCUGAUGGGUUUACACACAGGUUUUGUAUUUUUGACAGUUAUGCCGUAGGUCCCCUUGUGCUGUUUCUGUAAAUCUACUAUUGAGAGUUGAUGUUGAUACUUUGAAGAGCUGAUUGGGUUGAGCUUAACACAAUUUCUUCCGCGUUUUCCUGUUGCAGCGUUGAAUGAUCUUUUUGGUCAUUAUGUGGAAGCAUGGAAAUCAUGGUACUUGGAUCUUACACGGGAAACAUCAUCAUGAAAUAGAAUUUUGGCAGGUCUGUUGUAAAUCGAUUCCAGUAGGCAGAUCAACUCAGUUGUUGAUGCAUGCUUAGGAACUGAUUUGUACAAGGUGUAAUAAAAAACAAAGGCAAUGUUGGCCUUUGAUUGAUUGUGUUUACUCAAAUGCAAGGAAUGAGGCCAUUUUAUCAAAAAGGAAAAAAGGCAGAAAAAUUGACCGAUAGUCACAUUGUUUGUUGACAAUCACUCCAUAGUCAACACUAAAGGUUACCAUUUCCAGUAUUUGUUUCGUUGUUCUAUCAAACAGCAUAAAGGAGUUGGUUUGGUAUGAUCACCAAGCCACCAAGCCUCAUUGGGAAACAGCUUAAGGCCUUUUUUUUUUUUUUUGCAUUUCUUGACCAUUCUUGAACUUGAAUUUCUGACGAGUUUGUCUGAUCUAAUGCUGCCUCCUGGAUUCUGUCUGAUCUAAUACUGCCAUCUGUUUAAAUGAUACAUCCAUCUGAAACACCUGUGUUUGAUCCACUAAUUCAUUGACUGAUUACAAGAGCAUGAGCUAGUUGUUUACACAGGUUGCACCAACAGAAGAAAUCAGUCAAUUAAAUCACAACCAAUAACAUCGACCGCAUCCAGGCUAUAUUCUAGCGUUUGAGGUAGGAAUUUACCAAGCAGAUGUAAGUCAUGAUGAUGUAUAAUCAAGCUCGCAGUUUCACAAACUGCACAAGGAACGCACAUCACCCAGCUAUCAGUAGCAGUAACCAAAUGAACAUUGGCUGACAAUUUAUCAGACAGGCUGUGAGGCACAGCAAAUCGACAUGACAGAUAAGCAUGAAUAUCAACCAUGGGUGACGCAACACUCAUCAACCAUCGCACACAUAGGAAGUCAUACCAAUCACAUCACUCAUCAACCAUUGCACACACAGGAAGUCAUCAUCAAUCACAACAUUCAUCGACCAUCGCACACAUAGGAAGUCAUGACCAAUCGCACUCAUACGGUACUUUCAAUAAGAGGUAUCGGCUGUGCUUCAAUUUAUGGAUGACAUGGGUACAAUCGACAAUAGCCAUUUAAGCUGAGCAGUCAACAGCCAAGCAAAAUGCUUCACUUUGGCUCAGUGAAGAACUUGUUAAUCGCUGGCAUGAUUUCAGGGGUCUUGUCACGCACAAAGCUCCUGAGACCGUGCAUUGCGUAACGCCUCCCCUCC
rnacentral:lncRNA from 1 species